rnacentral:lncRNA from 1 species
AAGGUUUUUUUUUUUUUUUUUUUUUUUUUUUUUUUUUUUUUUUUUUUUUAUCUUUGUAUCCUAAAUUCGUCUUUUGGCUUCGUUUUUUUAGUCCACGCAACUUAUUUUGGACUCAUUUAAAUCUAUAUCUAAAUAUUAUGAACUAUCCGAAUCAAGGUAAUUUAUCUAAUUCAAUAGUCAUAAGAAAAUACACGUGUCAUCGUCACGAUCUAUCAAUUUAUUAUCAUCAAUAUUAAUAUGGAACACAUCUCACCUUAUGACCAGUUUUAAAAUUAGUAACUUGUAAUUUUGUCAUUUGAUUUGAAAAAUGAUGUAGUAGAGAUUGCAAUUUAAGAUGUCAAGAAAUCCUACAAUGCCUAUAAAAGAGAGGCAUUUAUAAAACUUUGAAUGCUCUUUUGCAACAUGAAAUCUUUUGAGAUGCUAGUGUACGAGCAUCAUUAAAUGUUAUCUUUGUUUCUUUACAUUUAUAUAUAUAUAUAUAUAUAUAUAUUGAAAUAGUGGUAAUUGUUUAAUAUUUUUAAGUAAUAUUUUUUUUUAAUAUGAACAACAAUCAAUACAAAAAAUAUAUAUAAUAUGUAUAUAUUUGCAUUACUCCCUAAGUUUCAUGAAAGAAGAUGAUAUAAAAUAGGUAAAUUUAGAAGUCCAUAAAAAAAAAAAAAAGCAUUAGGUUCUGUGUUGUUAAUGAAAUAUAUAAGAUAAAAAAGGUUUAUUAUUUUGGAAGAGGGAGGAAGGCAUUGAAGAAUGGAAAAGGCGAUGGUUAGUUAGGUAGUUGGACAUUUGGGGACCCACUAGAAAGGUAGAGGACAGUCAAAGUAUCCGCAAUUUUCGCUUCAGUCCCUUCCUCUUUAAUUUUUUACCUUUCUCGAGGCGCUCCUUCUAUUUCUCCAAUGGAGGGAAUUCCAAAUAUUUCUCUACAAAUAAAAAUCACUUCCUUAUACUAUCACUUUUAACCAUACUUAAAUUCUCCUUAUAUUCUUUGGUUCUACACUUAGAUUCAACAAUGUGAAUAAUAUAAAAGGUUUUAGAGAAUUCAUUUCUAGUUGGGAUCUUACUUUCUUUCUUCUUCUUUACUUUAGAUUUUCUCAACCUUAUUUCGUCUCUUUUCAGUUCUAUUAUUUAUUUUUAUUUUGUUAUUUUUCUAUUUAUCUAUGUAGUAGUGGUGGAAAGUUUUUUUUUCAGUAAGUGAUAACGGAGCAAUCGGUUCAUAAUUUUUUAAAAAUUUAAGUCUUCGAUUUCUAGUUGCAUGUAUUACUGUUUGAAUUUAAAUAAAAAAGACUUCUCAAAACCUGCCAUGAUAUUUUGAUUAGUGUGAGUUGCUCAUUAUUUGUGAUUUUGCUAGAAGUGAAACAUAUAUGUGAAGUUUUAUGAGUUCAAUCAAGUUUGAUGUAGAUAAAUUUUAUGGAAUGAUCAACUUUCACAUGUUCAAUUAAGAGACUAAAGGUGUUAAAACAAGUGUAAGCCAAUAUGUAAUUCUACCAAAGAUUUAAAAAAGAAAGUCUUUAUGCAUGUAAAUACAAACAAUCUUAUCAAAUGAAAAUUUGAGCUAGGUCAUUAAAAGACUGUAAAUUUGUUGUUGUCGUUAUCAUUCUCGUUAAGAAAAAUGUAGACUUCGAAUUCUUUUUAAGAAGGAAAAAUUCAUCCUUAUGGUAUGUACACUUUACCAUGAUAAAUUAAAGGAUGUAAUGCUAGUGGUUCCACAAAUUUGCACAUAUUCGUUAACUUGCCAAUUCUACAAGGUGUUUGGUAGAGGUGGUGUCGAUGGCUAAAAAUCUUUUGGGUGAUCUAGAAGUUUUAUUAAUUUUUUAAAAAACAUAGUGGUUUAUAUUUAAUACGUGACAAGAAAAAAAGUAUUUGAAAGGUGGUAUUCUAACUAAUCUACUCUUCCUUUAUGGUAAAAUGAAUUAUAAUUCUCUAAUCGAUAUAUAAUUGUUGGUGAAGACAAUUCAUAUAGCAUAUUGUGUUCCAAAAAUAUAUAUUAAAUAAUUAAAUUUUACGACUACAUACUAAUAAAAAAACAUACUUUCUUUUAAUAAGUCUUUUGAAAAUUAAUUUAUAGACUAGAAUGAUUAUAUUUUAUCGUGUAUAGUCAAACUAAAACAUUUUGAAUAUUUAUCAUAAACGGAUAAAAAAUACAUUUUCUUAAUAAAAUUAAAAAAAAAAAUAUUUUGCAUUCUUCAACUUUGAAAUUAUAUCAAUAUUGUAUUCCAUAAGUAAUAUUGAGAGAAGAAACUAUAUGAUUCCAAAGGUUUUGUAAGACUCAUUUUUGCAACAACUCUUCAAUUUCUAAACUUUCGUUCAAAUCAAUUUGCACGAGUUAUGAGUUAUGAAUGAUGCACUAGGGUAAAUGUUAGGUUCCCUAGUUUCACGAGGCCAUGUGCAAAUGUUUUUAAGUUCUUGUAAUGUUAAUUCUUUUUAUAUAUAAUUUUAAUAUUAUACAAUUUAGGUCUUGAAUUUUAAUAGAUAACAUUUGAGUCCAUAUUAUUAUCAAAUUUGACCAUGUAAUCCCUUCUUUAUAAAAUUUCAUCAAAAUUAAGUGUCAAUUUUAUCAUGUACAAUUUAAGUAUUCAUAGCUUGUAAACAUAUUUAGUUUCUAACUAUCCAUAUUGCUUUCCAUAAUAUAAUAUCUUUUAUUAAAUUAUAACAAUAUCUUUUUUAUGAUAUGAAGUAAACUGUUAGCAAGUUUAAAUUAUAAAAAAAAGAAAUUGUUGUACGUUAAAAUUUGUAUACUACAUUGUUAUAAUAAUAUAAGCACAUAAAUUAUUGAAUUAAAAAAAAAACGACCUACAUGUACUUAAUUGUUACUUUGGAAACAUAUAUACUAUAUACAAAAGUUCCUAACUAAUUUUAUAUUUUAGUUACAAAACUUUUACUAAAUACUAAAAUUUGAUUUUUAGUUAUCUUUUAAAUGUUACUAUUACAUUAUUUGUUUUAGAAUAUUAACAAAUGUAUGACGGCAUCUCGGUGUUAGUUUUGAAAAAAAAAAACAACACUCAAAUUAAAUUGACCGAUUAAAUGUUAAAAAAAAAAAGAAAUAGAUUGUUGUGUGUUGUGUGUAUGUGAUAGUCGACUUACUGACCUAUUGAUUUUCUACCUUAAAUUUGAUUGAAUAGUUUGGUAAGGUAAUUUUAAAUCUAUGCUAAAAAAACCAAUUAAAUCAUUUUUUGACUGAUUUAAUUUUUUGGUUAUUUUUGUUGCAAUCAAAGUAAUUAGGAAAGCAAGAGGUUUGAUGCUGCAUCUUUAGAAAAUCUUGUGCUCUCAGAACUCAUAAGUUUUCUUCUAAAUCCGCUGUCUCUUUAUUUAACUCAAUUCCUCCAACUUCCUCAAUUUUUUUGUUUGUUAAGUAGCUCAAACUUUAGUACAGUAUCAAUAACUCUCCAACCACUUUACAAAGAAAAGGUUACAUGUUGCUCAUUUAAAAAUAUAUAUUUUUAGCUAUCAUACUCUUUGAAAAAUUUAAAUGUAAUUGUGAUUACUAAAAUUUAAAGGAUAAUUUUAAAACGUAAGUAAUAAAAAUGAAAUCGUGAGAUUUAAAAGUAUGGAGAGAUAGUUGAAUUGAAAACUAUGAAAGGAUAAUAAAUUUUGUAUUAAAAAUCAAACUUAAAACGCUAGUUCAAAAAAUGAAUUUUAGAUUCUAUUACAAACCUAUUUGAUUACAAAUGUAUAAUUUUAUAAAAAAUUUGAACUUAAAAGUUGAAUUAUUGAAUAUAAAAUCUAGUAUUAUUUUAUAAAAAAUCAAUAAAACCAGUCAUAUCUUUUUAAAAAUGGUAUAAGUAGCAAUAAUUUUAUAACUAUUCACAAUAUAUAUAUUGUUUUAAAAGUGUGAUUUUACCAAAGAAAUACAUAUUUAUUUAUUUAUGUUAUUUGUGGAGGGUAAAAAGGCCAACAUAAGCACGUGAGAAAAAGCUGGAAAGCAAUAAAUGUGUUUGUUUGAGAGAAGUGCUUUCCCCCUUCUUAGAUGUAAAUGCAGUGGGACCCGCUCCAGUUCUUUUUCUUUUUCCCUUUUUUCUUUUUAAUCUCUCUUUUACUUUUUUCAUCUUAUUUACAAUAACAAUACAUUCACCGACACAUAUACCCUAAAUAUUUAUUUCUUACCUUUAUGCUACACACAAAAAUAUCCCUCAAAUAUGGAUCUCAAUACAUUCAUAUUUACCGACAAUCAAUCUUUUCUAAAAUGUAGAUCAACUUGUUUGUUUUGUGUAAAUGCAUAAUGGUUUACUUAAAAUGGCUAAAAGUUCAAUUUUCUUCAAUCAUUUUUUGAAGGAUGAGUUACGUCCACUACAAAAUACCAAAGAAGACGGAUGAGUUAUAAACCCUAAAAGACAAGCACUUUUGUAAUCUAGGUUGGGCUCAACCUCCAACUCACUCUCUUCAAAAUCUUAUUUAUACCUCUUCUACAUCUCUCUUUCUCAUAAUUUUAUCAUUAAUGUUACUUUUCUUUUCUUAGACUUCUACUGCCUUCAAAAUUACCUAUAACAACUAUUAUUAUUCCAAUAAUAAAAUAUUGUUAAUCAUAUCAUAUCCUCAAGAUAUAAAAAUAUGAUUAAAAAUUGCUUAAAAAUUGAAAGUUAUCACGUGUAUUAACAAGCCACAUCUUUAUUUUCAUUGAUUUAUCGUUAAAAUUAAAAAUAAUUCUAUUGUUCAGUGAUCUCCGAAAAAUUGUUAUUUUUUUGGAUAUUCACAAUAUUUAUAAAAAAAAAUGUAUAAAAUAUGUGACCAAGAACAAAAUUUGAAAUAGCGAAGAAACAUGUGCUACCCGUAAGAUUUUAUACCUUCUAUUAAAAAGAGUAAGUGAAUAAAUAUUUUAUCAUGUAAUUAAUAAAACAAGGCAGACUUAGCAAAAUAAGCAAACUCGUUAGCAAAUAUAGCAAAAUUUUACUUUUAAUAUAUAUAUUUAGUAGAUUGCAAUAAACAAUAGUGUCUUGUUUUGAUUACCAUAAAUGUUAGAAAGUGUAACAAUUAAGUAAGUAAAUCUAAAUGCAAACAGAUAAAGAUUUUAUGAAAAUUUUAACAAAUGUAUAAGAAACAAAUAUUUUAACUCUAUUGCUUGUAAAAUGUAAUUUCAAUUCAAAUUGACAAAAUGUGUGUUUUUGUUUAAAAUCUUUUUUCCAUAACUAAAAUUGUCUUGCUAAGUUCAAAUCUCUCUAUCCUAAUUUUUGUGCUAAAACGAUAUUUUUAAAAAUUUUAAACAUAUUUAAAAACAUCAUUAAAAUUAAAAAUACUAAACCAAACUCAUUUAAGAAAAAAAAAAAAUCUCUUUUAGUUAUCUGUUUGUUUAGAUAUAAAAAAUUAAUUGUUAGCCCCUUAAUGUUUGAGUGGGCGAAUAAUAUGAUUAAAUGAGGGGUCCAUAUUACUCGUGAAAACAUAUAAUUAUUUACUGCAUUAAUGGAUAUAAUUAAUUUAAACACAUAGCAAUAAAUUUUGGUUGUAAUAAAUUAUUUACUUGUGAACACAUACAAAGUGCUUUCAAUUAUUAUAUAUUGAUAGUUUAUUAAAAAAUGCUUUUUGCAUCUUUUCUAUACCAGUGGUGUGUCAAAACAAACUCCUAUUAAUAUGUACUUGGAUCAACAAAUUAAACCAAAGAUUUAAAUCUCCAUCAACAUUAUUCAACUAUAAAAGUAUUGUCCAUUUUUAAAAUUUUAAACAUAUAAUUUAAAUUAUAUUACAAAAUUAGUUAUUCAACUUUUUAAGUUGGAUCUAUAUUACUUAUUUUUUAAAAAAUAUGUAUAAUAGAUCAAUAACCUUUCAAUUCUAUAUUCUAUAUUUAAUAUUCAAUUCUAUAUUUAAGAAGAAAAAUAUGACUAGAUGAAGUAAUUCAAGUUUACCUUUAUGAAUUCUAUCCAAUUGAAUCAUCCCAUAAUUAAAAUGUUUCAAUAUAUUUCCAUUCAUUUGACAUGAAAAAAGGUUUUAAAAUAAUUUACAACUAGAAAGCAUUUAAUGAAUUACAUACAAAUAGAAAGCAUAAUAAUGAGUGGAUGGAUUUAGAGAAACGAAUUAAAUGAUUAGUUUGUGUUCCAAUAGAUUUAAUCAUAUGUAUUAUUAUUUUCAUUUUAAAGACAUGUGCAUCACUAUAUUACUAUUUGUAGAGAUGUGCAUUAUUAUUACUAUUGUUAUAAUUUUUGACAAUAUGUGCAUUAAUAUGCCAAUUAUAUAAUACUUUUAUCAGAUCUUUCAAACUUGUUUUAUUGUGACUGUUGUACUAAUUUGAUGAUGAGGUAAAGCUUAUUCAAUGUUCACUACAGUAAAAAAAUAAAAUUAAUUGUCCAUAAAAAAACAGAGUUUCAAUCCUUAUAAAAUGUUUUUAAACAACCACAAAAUUUUCUAAUACGACAAAAGAAAUUAAAACCUUUAGUAAAAUUUCAUAAUUUAACAAUAGUUAAACACGGAUAAACUUAUAUAAUUAUUGAUUUGUGUCUAUUAGUUACCUAGAUAGUAUUAACUAGUAUAUAUAUAUAUAUAAUAUUUUUUAAAAUUAAAAUAUUAAAAUAAGCUAGAUUGUCGUUGUCGGUGAGGGCCUCUAAAUCAUGUGAAGUGUGAUGAGGCUCAAUUAUGAGGAAAAAAGGGACAUAGAUUAUAAUAAUAAUACCAAACAAUAAAUCACUACAUUUCUUUUCCUAAGUACUAUUUUGCAAAUAUACUCAAUUUAACGUGAAAAUUAAAAGUAGACCUCACCCAUACAACAUUUCUUAUAUUACACUUUUUUUCCGACACAAAUUUAAGGAAAAAAUAUACAUCUAAAUCAAUUAAACUAUACAUAAAAUAGUUCAAAUGAUAGUCAUUUGUGUAUAAGAAAAUAUUAAAUAUGAUUGAAUUCAUAAAAAUUGUUCAUAUACUAUACGUUUAUGAAAAAUAGUGAGAUUUAGACUUAUCUCAAAUAAAAAUGAGUAGUUUUAGUUUAUCAAAGUUGGUAAAAAUAACUUAUAGUUAGAAACUAGCUAGUUUUAAGAUUUAUGUAAUGGGUGUAAUGGUAAAGUACUAUAUACAUAAUUAGAGAAAAGAAGAAAAUAAAUGAAAAUAAGAAUUUUUAAAAUUAAAUACAUUAUCCAAUGUGAAAGAAGAGAUCACCAAUCCCAUCCCAUCAAAAUCUUUUUAUUUUUAUUAUUGUUCAUAGAGAGUGAGAGGUGAAUGCAUGUGCUAAGCAUUAACACUUCUCACAUGGACACAGUCUCUCUAGUGGCAGUGGCAAUCACCCAACUUGGACAAUCUCUCUUUUUCAUCUCUCACGAUUAUAUAUAUAUAUAUAAAUUUAGUUGUUUCCCUUUCAUUAUUUUUGUUGUUUUCGUUUCCUUUUCAUUUUGGUAAUUUACAAAUAUUUAAAUCAUUAAUGGAUCAACAUCUUUACUCUGAAUGAUGUUAUCAAAUCGAAUCAUAUGUGUGUGUUUCUUUAUCAAAGUUUCAUUUAAUUUGUUGAUCUAUGAAUGAAUUAAUAUAUAUAGUUAAGAGUACUUGUUUAUAUAAUCUCAACAACUUACAUAAAAGUGGAAACACUAACAAAAAUAGUUAGAUCUCAUGCCAAUGCUAUAUUAAGUUUUUAGAACGUUUAAAAUCAAAGAUUCUUGUAUGUUUUUAAUUAAUGUAAAAUCAAAACUAGCUAGAGUUAAAGAAAGAUGUUAGCAAUUUGAAUCAUUUACUUAAUUGUGUUUACUUUUUUAGUAUUAUCUAAUUUUUUUUAGUAUAAUUAAUGCAGACAUAAGAUCAAAUCUUCAACCUCUAAGAAAGAAAGUCAUAUCAAUCAUAAUAUUGAAAUACUAAACUCACUUUGACUCUGGCUACCUAGUAUUUGUUGUUACAUCACAACAAAAUUUCAUUUAUAGUUCAAUCAAUAUGUUUUUAUCAUACAUAUAGCAAUGAUGUUAUCAACAAAGAAACUAUAUAUAUCUUUGAUAACAUUCUUAAUUUGAGUGUUCAAUUUUUAUAAUUUAAUGUUGGUUUCCUUACCAUUUUCUUAUAUUUUGACUAUUUAAAACAUAUCUAAACUCUCUCUAUAGACUUAAAAACUAAGCUUCAUUUGAAAAAUAUUUGUAUAAAGUAAAAAAACUAGUAUACAUAAACUUAAUAUCAAAAAAAGCAAAAGGCCAAUGACUAUUUAGUGCUUAAAAUUGAUAAAAUCAUGGUCAAAAACUAGAUUUAUAAUGUAACCAGUAGUUUCAAAGAGGGAAAACAGAGAAAAUUUCCAUAAUGGAAGAAUAAUCAAUAACAACAAAAGAGACUCCAAUAAUUUAGAACUAUUAAUAUAUAUAGUCUUUGGUCAGUAAUAAUUGAGAUAGGAUUAGUGAUUAAAAUUAUUUUUUUUUUAAAAAAAAGGAUGAGAUGGGCAUCUGAUCAUGAAUUUAUGAUGAAAUAUAUGUGGUAAGGUAGAUCAAUUAAGAAAGAAGAAGAAAAAAGAGUGUGAAAAGUAGGGAUAUGAAUGAAUAUGAUAUAUGUCAAUUAGCACUUAAUUAAUAAAAGCUUAAAUGAAAGAAAAUAAAAUAAUAAAAGGUUAAAGAUGAAGGAUUAUUUAAUUGAAUAAGAGGAAAAUGGAAAUGAAGAGAGUAGAGAGUAGAGAGAGAGAGAGAGAGAGAGAGAGGGGCAUGUUGUUAGCAUGUGAAAGUGUGUUUGUGCUUUCAAAAUUUCACAUGGGACACUUGCAAUAUUCUUUUGCUUUAAAUCAUUACUUCAAACAAAAACCAAACUCCCCAAAGGGAGAGAAAACAUAUCCAUCACAUUAUGCAACCAAAUAAUUAUAAUAAUAAAUAACCACAAUCAUAGUUUAAGAUAAACGCUUUUUUAAAAAAAAAAAAUUAACGAGUAAAUAAUAGGUGAACAAGGAUAGAUCAUAUAUAUAUAUAUAGGGUUUAGUUUUUAUUUGAGUUGUGAGUUCUUCAAUUUUGUUAUAAGGUUUUAGAAUGUUAAAUUUUUAUUCUUUUAAGUUUUGGUUAUUUUUUUUGUUUUUAUUUAGUUUAUAAAUUUUAACAUUUAUACUUUUACGGUCAAAUUUUAAAAAAAAACUGUGAAAUUCAUUUCUUGUAGUUCUUUAAAAUUAAUUGAUAGAUUAAUUAACCAUAAAAUUAAAUACGGGUGAAAGUGUGCAUCUUAAAAUCUAAGAGCCAAUUAAAACAAAAUUCAAAUGCUAAAGGUAAAAUUGCAACCUUUUAAAAAUAUAAGGACCAAAUUAAUUAACUGAAAUUCAAAACUUAAAAAUUAAGAUCACAUUUACGCUAUGUGAAAGUUAAUAAAUCAAUGGUGAUCUAACAAGUGGACUCUUCAUAAUCAUGCUACCCAUGUUGGCGUUUGAGACCUACUUUCGAGUUGGUAAUAAAAAAGCAUAAUCACCAUAGAGCAAUUGAUCAAUCUGAAUAAGUUAUCAUUAUUGUUAGUGUCACAACAUGAAAAAUCUGAGUUUAUCAUAUUAUUGUUAUUUUUAUCUUUUAGGAUCAAACAAUAACAAUAACGAUAAUUUUAAGAAUAAUAAUAAAUGUAUAUAGAUUCACAAUUGAAAGUAAACAUGAUAAAAAAAAAUAUAUAUAUAUUUGCCAUUGAGAUGGAUUGUGAUUAUAUAAAUUUUCUUUAGUAAUUGGUAAAUGUGGCUUGAAAGAGAAUAUUUUGAAAGUUUAAGGACUAAAUGGAAAGUGAACUCGGAAUUGUUCUCUACUUGUAUUAUGGCCACUUUUAUGUUUCAAAUAUUGAAGAUGGGGGAAGGCCAUAUAGUUUUCGGGUUGGGCUAAAUUAUUAUGAUGUAAUCUUGGGUUGGUAUGUUGAGAAAAAAAUGCUUAUGUUUAACAACAAAGCCUGAAAGGGCCUGAGGGUGACAUUUCCAUGGGUCAAAUGCAAUGGCCUUAUUCGACCCAUCUACACAAAAGCCUUCUAAAUAAGAGAUAACUUUCCAAUAAAUUGAAGUUUGUCCAAGAUUCCAAAUUCACUCAUAAAAAAUAUGAAAAGGUAACAAUCGUUUUUACCAAUCACUAAGUUUAGAAACAGAUUAUCAUCCAAUUGAAGAUGUAGGAUAUUCACGUACUUCACAUCAUCUAAGAAGAGUUGGGGAUGAAAAGUCAUGAUAUGAACAUGUCCGAUGAAGGGAGACUAUGAGAAUCAGAAUCCAAAUACAUCUUUCGAAGUAAGUCGCCAAAUUCCAUAUGCAAUUUGCCAAAACCCUUUGCAGUUAAAACUCCAGACGGUCUUUGAGAGCUAUUUCCGCAAAAACAUACGACAAUUGGGUAGUAGAUGCCUUGUUGGGCCGGGGGUACGUUUAUUGGGCCAAAAAGUUUCGGGCCAUUUUCUGUAUCAAACAGGCAAUGUACUUUUACCUCACUUUUGAAUGCACCCACCCUACAAGUCUUUUUUCUUUGUGGACAGAAAAUGCACUUGUAGGGCUGACAUUGAUGACCAUUACCUAAAGUGUUUUAGACAAAUACUUCAUUCCUUAAGUUUCCAGAAAAUGUUUCUAAAAUGACCUCUUAAUUAAUUUCAAUCUAACUGAUUGAUCAUUAGGCUCUUAUCUAUCAUUAAGCUAAAUAAAUCUACUAAAUACACAUUUAGUUGAUCUACUUCUCAUAGCUAAACUAAAUUCAUUUUACUUCCCCAAUACAUUCUUAUUGAUCCAAACAAAAGUUCCUCCAUUACUCAUCUACUUCUCAUUUAAAUGAAAUCACACAAAAGUUGGAAGAACAAUAAUAAUAAAAAAAAUAGUUUUAAAAAAUGUAAUGUAAGAAAACUAUGCAUAUAGUAAUUUAGGGUUAUGGCUGUAUACAAAGAUAGGUGGUAGGUAGGGAUAUAAUAUAUAUGGACAUAAUGUGGAAGGGCAAAGGUUAACCCCCCAAUGAAAUUCCAAAAGAAUAAAGAAACACUAAUUUGAGAAAGAAACAAGAAACCAUUGAAGAGAUUUGUUAGAAAUAAAUGAGUCCAUAGGCCCAAAAAUUUAAUGCUUUGUUAUUAUUAUAAUAUUUACCAGUAUGGGGCAUUGAAAUUAAAGAAUAAAAGUAAAGAAAGCAACCAAUAUUUUAGAGUUUUGUUUGACCUAAAAGAAGAAAAUGUUGGAUAAGGAUUGGCUAUAAUAACCACUAAUAUAUUCAAGUAGAUUAGGUCUUUGAUCUCCUCCACUCCAAAUCUUACAUUUUCCCUUAUCAACUCUUUUUUAUUUUUGUUUUUUGUGUUUGAAAAAAAUAAUGGGUGCAAUUGGAAAAGAAAGAUAAGGCUUUAAUUUGCAGAUAUCCAUACUUGUGAUUCGUGAAAGAUGUAAUUUUCCAGAUUAGUUCCCCAAUCAGAUCUCCUCCAAGAUUUAUAGCUAUGAAAUUAUGUAUAAUUUUUUGCUUGUUUUAGAUUGUUUUCACUACUUAAUUAAGUAUAAUUAGCUCAAUGUCCAUUACUUUAAUUUUCACAUUCAUCCAUGGUGAGAGGCUGAAAUUAAAAAUGCUAAGGAAGUAAAUUGAAACCUAUUUGGAUAAUAGACACUACAAACUUUUUUUUAAAAGCGUUUUUCUAUUUAGUAAAGGUGAUAACUACAACAACAUUAUUACUUCCUAAAUUUAUUUGAUUGUUUGUUCAAUUCAGUAGGCAACAUCCCUGAAAUACGAAUAUAAUUAGGUAGAAAUUAGGACAAAUGGUAAAGUAAGCGAAAAAGACGGUGUAAGCGUUACAAAAUAACAAAUUCAAAAUUAGGACAUCAAAUGGUAAGUAAGCGGAAAAGACGGUGUAAGCGUUACAAAAUAACAAUUUCAAAAUUAGGACAGCAAAUGGUAAGUAAGCGAAAAAGAUGGUGUAAGCGUUACAAAAUAACAAUUUCAAAAUUAGCACAGCAAAUGGUAAGUAAGCGAAAAAGACGGUGUAAGCGUUACAAAAAAACAAUUUCAAAAUUAGGACAACAAAUGGUAAGUAAGCGAAAAAGAUGGUGUAAGCGUUACAAAAUAACAAUUUCAAAAUUAGGACAGCAAAUGGUAAGUAAGCGAAAAAGACGGUGUAAGCGUUACAAAAUAACAAUUUCAAAAUUAGGACAACAAAUAAUAAAAUAAGCGAAAAAGACGGAGUAAACGUUACAAAAUAACAAUUUCGAAAUUAGGACAAAUGAUAAAGUAAGUAAAAAAUACGGUAUAAGCGUUACAAAAUAACAAUCUAUAAGGAGAAUGAAGUUGAACACCAUUCCAUAUAUAAUGAGAUUAUGAUAUAUGAUUACAAAUUGGAGGGUGUAACUAUUGAAAAAUGUGGUAAACACAUUGUAUUCCAUAUUUUUAUUUUCAUUUUCAUUCAUUAAUUAUAUUUUGUUGGUAAGUAAACAUGGUCUUAGGUUCUUAGCUAAUAGAUGUUUAAUUUCAAUCCACUAAAAAUGUGAAUAGAAAAUUUGUGGAGAAUAUAAGAACACAAUCAAAAUCAUCUUUGAUCAAACUUGUCCAAAUUUAUUUUAACUAAAAUGUUAGGUUUCAAUUCCAUAGAUAUAUUGUUUAAAAAUAUAUAAUUGGAUCAACCAAUUAAUAUUUUUAAAAUUUAAUAUAAGUAAAGGGAGAGGUAUAGAAAAAUAUUAAAACUAUUUACAAAAUAUAACAAAAAGAAAAAUUAAAUGGACCAAAGAGGGUUGGAGAAAUUUUACUAUAUUUUAUAAAUAAUUUUACUAUUUUGCAUUUUAAAAAAACAUUUACCUUUUUAUAAAUAAUAAAUUUUUUAUUAUUCAUAUUUGUUGCGGGUGAUUCUUGAACCAAAGCACGUAAACAACAUUUUACAAAUAACAUGAACAAUAUGAUUUGGACUAAAAGAUAAAACCUAGGACCAAAUGACCAAGAAAAAGAGGUUUGCUUGAACUUAGGCCAAGUGUGCUCGGUCUCGACUAGCCUAAUCAAAUACGUAAUGAAACAUGUCUUGUGCAUGUUCCAAACUAAGUGACUAUUACUCUAGGUCGAAAGUAUAGUGAGAGGGAGGGUGUUCGACCUCAAUUUGGGUCCUAGAGAAAAUCAAAUAGGAUGCCACUCACAAACCUAGUAACAUAAAUUUAGUUUACGAACAUAUAUGGAAAUAUUAAUAGAAAAAUAAAUAAGUUUAUAAGAUAUCAAUACAUAUACAUCAUGCAUAGGAAACAACUGAAAAAUUGGUAAGAAAGUAAUCCAAAAAUCCUUUCACACAUUUUUCUUCCCCAUGUGUCAACUUAAGAUCAUGGAUAUGUGAUCCCAUUGAAUAUGUACCAAAACCUAAAACCUAGAGGGAGCUAGCUUCCUUUGCAACAAGAAUCUGUCACAUUUUUAUCCUAUAGUAUCCAAACAUUUGGAAUUACCUUAAAAGAAUGGUUGGUAUCACUUCCUUCAUUACAUUUUUUUUUAUUUAGCUUCUAUCUUUAUUCUUCUCUCCUUGAAUCAUGGCUAUAUUUCUACUUUUCAACCAAUUUUCAACGUUUUCAAAGAUCAAAACAAUUCAAUUAUAUAUUAAUUAGAUUCAUUUCAAUUUGUUGCUAAAAUAAAAUAUUAUAGUAUGAAGUUUGUAGAAUUUAUUUACACUAACUACACAUAUAUACUUAUAACGAAUGAUAUGAGUUUUAAUAUGGAAGAAUUAUUUGAAAAGAAAAGUACUCACACACUCACUUUCGUGUUAUCUUAUAAUUAGUUUAGUACUAACGUUAAAAAUGGAGCAUUAAUCUACUUGUUAAUAUUUAUAAUAAUCUCCUAAUUAAUAUACGAUUAUUAAAUCUAUAUACAUUAAAAAAUAUUUUUUAUUUCAAAAAGUGUAAAAUGAAAGUGAUGGUAUAUAUAAUCUCAUAGUUAAUUUUCCAAAACAUAUAAAAUUGAUUUGAACUUUCUCUCAUCACCAUUGUUCAUACAGUUUAUGAGACAAUUUACAAAUUUUGGACCUCAAGUUUUUUAGCAUAUAGACUUUAUAGCUUGUGUUCAUAUUGGAAAUACUCAUCUCAUAUAUGGUUACAACUAUUUUUUAUUAAUUAAUUUGAUAGUUUAAUUUGGCUGUGCUCAACAAAAUAUAUAGAGAAAUAUAGACCAGUUUUUUUUAAAAAAGCAUGAAAAUAACAACGAAUAUAUAACAUUAAUACAUAACAUAUAUAAAUUGUAAAGGUUAUAUCAAAUAUUUGUUGGAGAGGAGUCCUACAUUAGAAGGUAUCUAGUGAAGUAGAUUAAUGAUUUCAUGUUUCAAAGUGCUCAAAGGCUUUGAUGGUGAUACUACAUAAACAUCACUUUAACCAAAUUGCAUCAAUAAUGGAAAUUUUUUUCCUAAAGCUGCCAUUUUCUUGGGAUUCUUUUUUCCCCCUCUUUUGACAAUUAUUGUUUUUUUUCAGUACAAUGUGAAGCUAUAAAGGAAAAGCCUAACCCUAAGUCUUGCUUAUAGCUUUGCUUUCAUUAACCUAUAAAACCUAACACAAAAGGAUUGCAUGUCUCUCCCUUUCAAAAUCCACCAUAUCUUUUAUCAUUUAUAUUCCUUUGACUCACUAAUACCAUAUUCAUUCAUUUAAUUCUAUAUGGUUUUAAAAAUUCAAACAUUUUUGUGAUUGUAGUGGGUUUAGUUUAACUUUAACUUUUGUGAUCAUGAUAUUGAUAAAUUAAUUUUUAAAUAUCUAUUUAUGCCUCCAUUUGAAUAAAAUAGAUGACUUCUAAAAUUGAGUUGAACUAAAUGCCAAACGUGAAUCAAUAUAUUAAAUAUUUGUUUUCUUAUAAAAUUAUGAUUUGAUGGUUUAUAAAUUAGAAUUGAUGUAUAAUUGAGAUCGUUGUAAAAAAUAUUUACUUAAAAAGUUGUAACUAAUAUAUUAAUUAUGAUUUGAGUUAAAAAUAUGUGUUUAAGGUAUUGUUGGUUUGAUAUAUGCUAGAGAUAUUGUUUCACUUUGAAAUAUAUAUUUUGUUGAUUGUUUUUUAAAGUAUACAUGUAUGAAAACAAAUUUUAAGUAUUUUAAAAAUGAAUGGUACUCUGACUACUCCUACUAAUGGCUACAUUACAUAGUUGACAUAAAAAUCAUAUAAAUAAACCGUUAUAUGAUACAAAAAAGUUAUAUACGAUAUGAGGUAGGAAAGAGUCAAGUCGCUAAAACAAAGAAAAAUUACAUAAAGGGUUGUACAAAUUUUCACUCUGAUAGAUAUAUAUAUAUGUUAAAAAAUUAGUGUAUAUAUAAGAGUACAAACUGUCAAUACUCACUUAAGAAAAUAUCAAAUACAAAAAAAUCAACAUGGUCUUUGUGUUAGUAUGAUCCAUUUGUUUGAUAUUUUUUUUUAAAAUUUAGUUUAGUUUCAAACGAACCAAUUUUGAAACUUAUUAUAUUAAUAUCAGAUUUUUUUUUCGAGUCAUUGAUAGACAGUGAUACAAGUCUAUUAGUGAUUAUUAUCGAUAGAAUCUUAUGCUAUAACUUAUAAAUAUUUUAAUUUAUUUUGUUAUUCUUAAAAAUGCCAUUUUUUAUAAUGAUUUUGUAGGUAAAAAAUUAGAAGAAAGACUUUAAUAUUUCCUGCUUUACACGUUUUAUUGUCUUUAUGUAUGCUUAAUAAAUUUCAACAAUAUUUACAUUGUUUGAACAAAAUCAAAGUACAAGUCACUCAAACAUUUCACUAAUAAAAAAAUUAGAUGAAGAAAAAAAUAUGAGCAAGAUUAUCAUAGUUACAUUAACAAAAUUUUCAAUAUUACAUGAUCAUUUAAAUAUAAUGAUAAAGAGCAUAAACAUAUGUACAUGUCAACCAUAAAGUUGGUGGUUUAAGUUUCUCCGACUUUUGUUGUGUACUAAAAAGAAACCUAUAAAUGAAGGAAUAUAUAAGUUAUUAAUUUUGCAACGAGAUUUAUGUGUAUUUGAUCAUGUUAAUGUUUAAAAAUAUCACAAAAAUAAUCAAACAAUAAAUAAUUAUCAAAUAAGUUUAUAAUUUUAUUUCAAUUUUUUAAGAACCAGAAUAGACAUCGGACAUAGUUCCUCCAAAAAAACGAAAAAAUGAAAAAAUAAGAAAAAUAAAAAUAAAAACGUUACCACAAUUGUUAAGUCAUAGAUUGUGUUGUGGGAGACAAAAGAAGUGAACAACGGAUGUGAUGGUGUGUAAUUAAAUGGUAAACACUUCCUUAACCUUAUAUAUAUAUAUAACGUUUAAGGACACGUUAAUAUAACUUUUAAAAGUUUUACAAACACUUUUGCAACGAGUAGGUAAUAACGAUUUCUAAUAUUAUAUUAGCAAGAGUAUAUUUUAAAAUUUUCUUUUAAUUUAUGGAUAUUAUUUAAAAGUCGUGUAUUUUUAAAUGUUUCCACCUAAAACUAAUGGUAAAUGCAUUUUAACUCUCUUUUCAAAAUUUAAGGACUAUAUUUUCUAAACUUUUCAAAUUUCAAACUUUUUUUUUUUUUGACAAAGUACAAAGUUCAAAUAAAUAAAUACAUAAUAUUGAGUGUAUUAAUAGUUAAGAUAUUUGUGGGUAAAACCUUUCCUACUUUUUUAUUAUUGUUUAUACUAAAAAGCUGAUUUUUGAAUAACAAAAAUCUAAUAUAAUUUUUAAAAUUUCAAUUAUGUUAUAAUAGAUUUCUUAUUUUCCAAUCCCUAUUCAAUUCAUUUACUGUUGAAUAAAGUGAGCUCACAAAGUUCACUACAAAUUCAAAUUAAAAUACAUAUAAAUUCAAUGAGCAAUGUUUCAUGGAAAUUUAACAAAUUCAACUUAAUUAAUUAUGGUGAAUGGAAAACACGAUCCCAAUUAGAACACAUAUAAAUUCAAAAUUCAAAGGAAAGGAUUUAGAAAAAAUUUUAACCACUGCAAUAAUAAUGAAUUAAAGUAAUAAUUACCGAACCGUAGUUUGGUUUAAUUAAUAGUCUCGAAAGCUUAUAAUGGCGAACAUUUUUAUCCCUUGUUAUUUUUCCAUUUUUGGAUAUAUGUUUGUGAUAUGAUUUUGAAGGGAAGAAUGAUUGAUGGUAUGUAUAAAAUUAAAUGGGCAUUAUUGGGUAGGUAGAGUUGUUUGGCCAAUUGGUAUGAAGCUGUUAAAGCUAAUCAUUUUUCAUUUCCCAAAAGUUAUUUAAAUUAAAAUCUCAUCAACCUCUCACAUGUAGUAUUGUAGAAUUGAAGAUACAUAUUCACUUUUCCAUUCUUUAACACAUUUUGGUGGACAUGCAGCUUUUUUAUUAGAGAUAUUGUCUCUUUUCACAAGUCAAUAUUAUGAAACCACCCUCAUCAUUUUAAACUUUAAAUCUUAUUUUCAUCCCUUGUUUUAGUUCCUUAAGAGCAUAUUGAUUAGGUCUUGUUAUUAGGAUUUUGUUACCUCUUUGACAAUAUGACUUCUAUAAAUAUAUAUAUAUAGAUGAUUAUUCAUUACACUACCAAAUACGAUAACUGUUCUCAAGGUUUUAAAUUUUAACUAGAGAUCGAUGGUAGAUUGAUGUUUUAUCGAAUAACUCAAAAAAUCAUUUUUCCUUUCAAGAUUUUGAUUGUCACGAUUCUUGUGCAUUGUCGUUCUACUUUACUUUCUCAAUCCAUGUAAGAUGCAAUUUCAUCCGCAUUCAAAUUUUGUACUGCCUCAAGCUUGAGAUAUUUUGUGAUUUAUUUUAGUGUUUUUUUUUCUUUAUUAGGAGAGAGUCGAAGAGGUUGUGAUUGAUUGUGAAAAUAUUUAUAUGCAAUAAUUUCAUGAAGUUUAUUUAAUACAUCAUGAGUUGCAUUUAUUUUAUUUAUUUAUUAGUUUGUUAUGAAUAGUUAACAUCAAUAUAUCAGUUCUAUUUUCAGUGUUUUCUACUCAUUGUUGCUUAAAUAUUUCAAUUUGAAAAAAGAGAGUUGAUAAGUGGGAGUCAAGAGGGCAUUUGAAAGAUUUGAAUUUUGAAAGAAAAGAAAGGAAAUAAAUUAGUUGUUGAGUUUAUUUAGUAAAUAUAUUGUCAUAAAAUUAAAAAUUUAUAGAAUAAAUUAGUAAAAAAUUUUAAGGAUGUGGAGUCUAAUUAUCUAAAUAUAGAAUAUGAACGAACCUAAACCCUAUUCUUAAAUAUGGAAGUCCUCGAUCACAAAUACACACAAAUAAACUAACGUCUAACAAGAAUAGGAUUUAGACAUAUUUUAAUUACUUUUGUCUGUAAUGAAAUAUUUGUCCUUUAUUUUUUGCAAAUCUAAUGUGUAUUAUUUCUCUAAUAAUUAGUAUUUCGAAUAACCGAUAUUAAUUAUUAUUAAUUUUAACUUUCUCUGUAACAUCUCAGACAAAAGGUUUGAUUAUUCUUGUUGAUGUUAUGUUUUUUUUUUCUUUAAUAUAUACUUUAUAUAAAGUAAAAGCUGCUUCGAAAUAAAGUAAUUUAAAAUUUACAUUCGCUUUUGUGGUGGAUUUUAAUGAUUUUUAGUAAAAGAAUAAAACCACCCUUAAAAAGAAAAACUAAAAUCCAUGAAAUCAUAUGCCAUGGAAUCAUGUUGCUUAAAAAACCUAAUUUUAAGAGAUUACAUUAAGAUAAAUAACGAAAACAUAUCUUUCAAAAUUAAUCCAUUUAGAUAUACAUUAAUAUACAUUAAGAUACUCAAAACUAUUAACCUUUAAUAAGUUAAUAACUACUAAUUAAAUAUAUAAUUGAGCUAUUUUAUAUUUUCAUCCAUCUAGUGGUAAAAAAAUUGGUAAUCACAUUGUAUAAGUCUUAUUAAAUCAUAAUUUAUCUACUUCUCUCUAACUUAUAGAUUGUUUCUAAAUAUUAUAUAUGAUUGUCGAAAAUCUUUUCCAUCAACUUAAAAAAAUAUUAAUUAUAAAUUAACUCUUUAACAUCUUAGAAUCUAAAAAAAUUAAAUUAAAAAUAAACUCAAAACUUAAAUGAAAAAGAGACAUUUUCUUUAUUUUCUUUCAUAGAUAACAAACUAAGAGGUAGGUAGGUUGGGAUGUAUAUAUAUGCUAACAUAUUAAUAUGUAAGCAGGAUUUGAAACAGCCAGAUAAAUAGAAAUUAGACAAAAAAAAAGAGAAGAAAAAAAACAUAAAAUGGAAAUAAUAGUUGAGAUAAAGUUGAAAACUGAAAAUGGGAAUUUAUUUAUGAUGUGUAUAUAAAAAAAUAAUGAAAAAGGGAGUAAAAUAAUUGAAAGAAAGAAAACAUAAGUUUGGGGGGGAAAAGGUUAGAAAAGAAAUGUGUAGGUAAUUUAGAUAGAAAAAUAAAAAUAAAAAUAAAAAAAUGAAUGAGGUUGUCGGGUGUCCUGUCCCUUGAUAUGGAAAAACAUCGGUUUUAGGUAUGUGAAGGGUGCCCUGUCCUUAUUACAGGACCCUCUUCUCUCAUCAUCCACAACCCUACACCCACAUUUCUUCUUCUUCUUCUUCUUCUUCUUCUACUUCUUCUUCUUAAAUAUUUACUUUUCAUUUCCAGGGACCCUCUACCCCGCUUCCAUGCCAGGUGCCCUCCAUUUUGUCCUUUACUCUCUCUCUCUCUCUUCAUUUUACUCUUUCUUUUCUCUUUCCUUCAUAUAAUUCUAAUCAUCUUUAAUUCAAGAAUGUUGUUCAACCCUUCAUACCUUACUUCAAUAUUUGUAGUUAAAGUUUACGUGUUUGUGAAUCAUUUAUUUUAGUGGACACUUAAAUAAUAAAAAUGUUUUUUAUUUUUAAUUUAAGCAUAACUUAAUUAUUUGAACUAAAAAGGAAAUGUCAUUUUUUGUUUUGUUUGAUAAAAGAAGUAUGGGAGACAAUAUCUUAAAAUAUAAAAAAUAAAACUGGGAAGGGAAAAAUAAUGGAAAAGACAAAAACAAUCGAAUUUUGGUAGAUCUAAAAUAAUAACAUUUCGAGUUAUGAAACGGAGUUGCUUUAAUUGAAAAUGCGUAAAUAUGAUUGUAACAACUCUUAUAAUAUCAUUGGAGGUUUUUUUUUUCUUCUAAAAAAAUAGAGAAAAUAAUUAGGGUUAGUCAAAGGUGAAAUAAUGUAGGGCAGAAUGCAUGUGAGGAUCUGCAAAUAACAUUGAUGAGGAAUGAAGAGGGAAUUCAGUACUGUGGGUUGGAUGGUGUAGCUUCAAAUUGGGUAUUAGGUUGUAUGUAACACCAAACCAAAAUGAGAGAGAGAAAUAUAUAUACCAUAGCAUUUAAAUAUUAUGACUAAAAUGAAAAAUGAAAAAUGAUGAAGUUGUCUGAAAAUUUGAAUCCCCAUGUGGGUUUGUCAACUUCUUUGUUAGCACUGACAAACCCACAACCAUUUUUCCAAAACUUGUUUUUUAAGCCAAAUAUUAUCCAUCAAAAACCCCAUAAUCUAUACUUUCGUUUCUUUUCUUUAUUCCAAUCAUUCUUCCUUUCAUAAGGCCUUCAAAUGCACUUUUGUUUCAUUCUCAUUUCAUUUUCUCCAUCAUUUUUCUAUACCUUGUGUGUGUGUCUAUCUCUUUUUUUCCCCUUUUGUGGUUGAUUUUGUGUGUAAUUCAAGAAGAAGAAGCGGGCAUGCUUAUGUCAAACGUCUACAAAUAUUUAAUUCAUUGGACAUAUACAUUUGAUUUAGGCUUGUCUAUAUGUUAGAUAUUUAAUUUAAUAUGACAAUGUUAGAUGUUUAAUAGUUUCAUUCAAUAUUUCUUUUUACAAAAGCUUGUUUACGUCAAAAGCAAAUAAAAAUAUAACAGAUUUAAAUUUUAUAGGUUUCUAAAAAAUUGUCAAGUAAUUUAUAACAUAGAAUUUUAAAACAAAAGACUGAAAAAGAAAAUAGGAACAGUAAUGUAUUUCCUUUCUUGUUCAUUUUUGUUUAAAACUUUGAAAUUUUUUUAUUUUAGGGUUUUAUGAAAUAUUGAUAUUAUUUUGAAAUAUGUGGAGUGAUAGAUCAAGGCACUAACCUAUUUGAUGCCAUAGUUUUUUUUAGUUCGGUUCAUUUUAGCCAUUAAUAAUAAUCUUUUUUGUUUUAAAUUGUAAAGAAUUGUCCAUUUUAAUUAUAUUGUCAUUAUUUUACACCUAACACACUCAACCAACGCACCUACCUCAAAAUAGAGAUACUACUAAUUUUGCAUUAACACUUCAAAUCAUACAAUUUAAAAAUAACACAUCCAUACUUUUUUUCUUCUCUAAAUAGAUUUGAAUAGAGAUUAUAUUUCUUCGUAGUUGAAUAUAUAUUAUGUUCAUGUAUAUAAAUUAGGCAUGCAACAAUUUGUUGAAAAUAAAAUAAUGGUAAGAACUAAAAUAUAUAUAUAUUUUGGUUUAAAACUAGAAUAAGUAUUUUGAAAAAUUAAAGACAGAAAAAAAUUAAGCAUUAAUUAAAUUACCUAAACGAAGCUAUAAUCGAACCUAAUUAAAGUUCUUACUAUUACAUUAUUGUUAAAAUUUCUAAAAUAUUUUUCCUACAUUAAUUAUCUUUUUAUAAACUCUAUAAAGAUGCAUUAAAGUAAUUUCGUACAUGAAAUUAUUAUUCUAAUUUAUCUAACUUAAUAAAAAAAAAAACGGUUAACUUUAGUGUUAACAAUCUAGGUUAAAAACUAUAUAAACGUAAAGUAAAAGAAUAAAAAGAAAAAAAUAAUAAAGAUAGAGGCAUUUGUUUGUUUAACGUAAUAACUAAAAUGGAGUUAAUAUAUUUUGGAAUUAUAGGAAGGCAUUUGUUUGUUUAACGUAAUUAAUACAAAUGGGUUUGCAAUAAAUUGCCUCUUAUUUUGUGAGUUUCAAUGCAACCGUUUUACUUUACACACUUUUCAAUAAUCAAACCAUUUCUGUAAUUUCAUUGGUCCGCUGACGUCAUCUCCAAUACUAAUCAGUCAAUCAAUCAAAUAAUUCCAAGCUAAUCUCCCCAAGUUUCCGUGCCAUAUCUAACGGCUUAUAACCCCGCAUCUCUAUGGUCCCCCAUCACGUACGUCUCAUCCUAUCAAAUCUCAACCCUCCCUUUUUUCCUUUUUUCUUUUUCUUUUUCUUUUUAAAAUCAUUUUUAAUAUUAUUCAUUUUGUUUUAUUUUCUUCAAAUUUUGUCCCUAAACUCAUUCAAACUAUCUAUUUUAAUAUUCCAAUUUUUCAAGGUUCCCCAAUUUUAAUCUUACCUGCUACUUUCUCAUAUAUACGUGUGUAUAUCCAGACUAUGAUUUGAUAAUGUGUUUUUCUCUAAUAUAAAAAAACAAUUAAUAAAAAUCAAAUCAAAUUUUAAAAAAUGUCAUAAUAAUAAUUAUUGAAAUAAGUUCAAGUUAACAAAAAUAUUUGUUAAAUACAUAGGUUAUUAAUCUAUGAGUAUCCAAUAAAUAUUCAGUCAAUCAAAGCCAAAACUAUGUUUGACUUGACAAACAAAUAUUAUAAAUUAGUUGAAAUUUUUUAAUAGAAAAGACUACCAAAAAGUACAUGUUAUUUUUAGUGAAUUUAUGGCCUUUUUUCUUUUAUUUUCAUGUGACGAUUUUUUCUUCCAAUUAUUUUAUCUGCAAAAUUAAUUCAAGAGCCUUAAAAUAGAUACUUGAGAAUUCUAGAUUUUUUUUUAGUAUAAUUAGGAAAUAAAUUUAGAAACAUAAAACCCGUCAUAUAGAGUCACUUAUACAUAUUUAUAUAUUAGUUGAAUAUAGGAUUAAAUAUAGAAUAAUGGGAUAUUUUGAAAAAAUUGAAAGUUAGUAGGACAAAAAUGAAAAUUAAAGCAGUGUUAAUUAAUGAAUUAAUGAGGAGGACAUAAUUGAUUUAUAUUGAAGUUUGACUUUUAGUAAAAGGAGCAUUAAGAUUGACUUAUUUGAAUAAGUGGAGGGACACGUGGCGCAUGGGAUGAGGAGUGGGGCACACGUGUGCGGCACGUGGAGAGAUUGGAGAAGAGUCCGAUCAGUUCAAAAGAGGCAAACCCAAGUUCGUAAAUUAAAUGAGUUUUUAAUGUGGAGAUUAAGGAAGACAAAAUAAGUGUCAGUAGACCCUUUUUUAACCAAAUAAAUAGUAAUCAAACAUGCAUUUACUCAUAAAAACUGAUUAUUCCAAACCUCACUUUUAAUUAGACCAAAACUACGACUUUAGUACUUAUUACAAGUGCUUUGAUUAAUAAAUGUCUUUCUGGUUUGUGAUACGUCAUUGGUUUUCGUCCAAAUUGGCUGGGGAAUAAUUAAGAUUAGGAUGAAAUUUUAGGUCUCUUUGAAAACGAUGUUUGCUUUUUAAUUUUUUUUGUCAAUAAUUAAUUAAGCAUCUUUCUUAAUUACAAAUUUGACCCUACACCUAUCAACAUUACAUUUAGUUCCUACAAUUUUGAAAUGCUUCUAAUAUAUUUAUGAAAUUUUAUAUUUUUAAUUUUUAAGGUCUUUUUCUAAGUUAAAGCAUGUAUCUUAAUUUAUACUGAAAAAAAGAAUAUAUUAAAAUUAUAUUCUCAAUGAAGGUAAGAUAUUCAACUCUCUCGUCUCCAUGUUCAAUUCUUACAAAAAAUUAACAAUCACUUAAAUUUGACUUGAUAAAUUAUACGAUUGUAUUAUAUUGAAAACUUAGCUUACCCAGUUUUAAUUUAUAAUUUGCUUUUCAUUUUUUAUUGGAUGUUUAUAAAUAUAGCAAAAAUUUUUAUAAUUGAUAAAUUAUGAAAUUAUAUAUUUUUUUUACCGUUUUUCAUUUAAAAUAAUUAUUUAAAUACAUGUUUUAUUUUUAUAAUUUGAUUAAGAAAAUCUUAAUUUCCAAAAAAAAAAAAAAGAAAACAAAACUUAAUUAGUCAUAGAAAAUACGGUGUUUUUCGUAGAUGUUAAGAUUAGAUAGAAUAACUAAAUUUUAUAAUUAAAAACACUAGUAAUUAAAAAUCAGAAUGAAAAAGUAACUUUUUUUAAUGAAAAGAAAAAAGGAAAAAGAAAAGUUAGUUAUACAUUUCAUCAUCUACAUACUUUUACAUUUAUGUCAAAUUUGGAAUUUCCAUCUUAAUAUUGUUAAUCUUAAUUGUUCGGAAACUACCGAUUACAUCAACAUCAAAGAGAGUGGCAAAAAAGUAAAACUUGUAAUUAGUAUUAUAGAGACAAAAUUAUGAAAAUACAUAAACAAAACGAUAAUAAUAAAAAAAAUAGUAAAAUUAACAAAAUAUCUAACUCAUUCAAAAGUUUAGUGUAGUUGAAUAAAGGGAUUUUGCAUGAAAAACAAACUACUAUUUAAUUAUUUACGCUAUAUAGAAAAUAAUCACAUAAUUAAAUUCAUUACACUCAUUUUUCAUUUUUUUCAUGAAAGGUAAAUAAUCAGUCCAUUUUUUCAUUUUUAAUAAUUUUUUUAAAAUAAAAAAUACAAAUGUUAUUACAAAAAUCUAAUAUUAUAUUUUAGGGAUGAUAUAAUUAAGUCUAAUAUUGUUAUUUUAAAUUCAAUCAUUCGGUUAUAUUUAUAAUUUUUUAAAAUAUUGUUAUGUACAUUUAAAUAUUAUCUCUAAGAUUACUCGAUAUUAUAGUUACUCUCACCUCAAUAUAAUAAAUAGUUGUAAAUUGUAUCAUGUUAAUAAACUUUCCUUCACAAUUUAAAUAAAAAAUUGAAAGACAUUUAAAUUCUUUUUUUGAAAGUUGAAGUUCAUGUUAUUUUUCCAAAAUAUCCCAUUUAAACGAGGGUUAAAAAAUUAUACAAAUUGUUAUUAACAAAAGCUAACUUUUCUAAAGACAUAUGAACACAUCGAGUUAAUGUUUAUUAUAUGAUACGCCAUAAAUUUACUUGUUUAGGUUUUAUUAUUGAUGACUCUUGGGAAUUUUCUAUCUACGACGUGUUUAGAGGUAUAAUAAAGAUGAGUGAUUAAGAUGUUGGAAGAAAAUACUGUUGUUUCACAUGUCUUACAAUUACAAGCAUAAAAGAUCUGAUAAUGUAUUAAAUAAUCAACCAUACGAAACAAAUGAAGAAUCGAAUUGAGAGAAACACAUAACAAAACUUAAUUGAACGAUUGACUACCUAUGUUAACAAUAAUAAUUAACACUUGAUUUGCCCUGUUAAAUUAGUUAGUUGCAAUGUCAAAGAGUUUGCUAGAAUAAUUGCCAUCCCAUACCUAUAACUAAUAAUUUAUACACACUCCCAUUAAUGAAACAAGACACAUCGCAUGAAUCUUAUGAUCUAUUAUUACUCAAAUAUAUAUUAUUUAAUAUCUUUCUUUUAUUAUCUCAAGAAUUGCUACUAUAACUUCUCAUUCUCUUUUUAAUUUUUGUAUAUUUUACUAUUUGUAAUUUUUUUUUCUUAAAAGGCUUGAAUUUUAUGUUUGUUUUAAUAACCUUUAUUAUUUUUUUUAGUUUAAGCUAUUAAGAGAUAUUCAAGUCAAAAUAAAGAUGUGAGAUGUGAGUUCAAGUUCAAAAAAUCAAUAUUAAAAAAAGUAUAGUUACGUUGAGUGUGCAUUGCAAAAUGAAAAUGUUAAUGCAUCAGAGUUUAGGUCGAACAUCAAAACUGGUUACAGCCCCAAAAACAUCAUUGACACCGUAUCCGGUGCCAUCAAAUGUAUCUAGAGAUAUUUGACUACUGACUUAUAAAUAGUCCUAUUUGACUACGGCAAAUAGAGAGAGGUGAUCGUCAGGCGUGAAAUUCAAUCUUACGUUUUUUUCAUGCUUAAUUGAUUUAGCCAUACUAGACUUAAGCAAUUAGAAUGCACUUGACACUACUGCAGUCUAAAAGAUCUCUUACACAAAUUAGCUUAAGCAAGAUAUGGAGAAAAACUAAUAGGAGAUCAAGUUGAUUAAAACGCCCCAAGUAACAAAUGGAAUGUGGAUAAGAUCCAAAUUUACAGACACAAACCUCAUAAAAAUGACGGAUUUGGUUUACCUGUAAAUAGUUUAGUUUUAGAUAUAUGGUGGGAUGAGAUGUUAAUGUAUGUAUUGGAACCACUUUUGAUUAGUUGAUUAAUUAUGUUAGUCAGAAAAUUAAUAAUAAUGACCCAAAAUUUUCUUUUUGAAAGUAUGAAAUGUAAAGUGGCCAUUUUAAAGGGUUCUUUACGGUAAAGGAUUAGAAUAGACGUUUUAAAGUUUAAGGAAAGAAGAGAGAUUUAAAUCAUGUUUGAAACCCUACCCAACAAAUCAAAUUACCAAUUUGGCUCUUUAAUUAGUUUCAAUCAAUCUCCACAAUUUCAAAAUUUUCAAAAUAAUCUAUACAAUUCAAGUUCAAUUUAAACUUGAUCUCCUCCUUAAUUCCCACUUGAUAUUGACUAUUUUUGUUCCCACUUAAAUUUUGUAAUUUAGUUAUGUUCCAUCUUAAUUUUUUUAAUUAUGAUUUUCACUUUUAUAAAAACUUUUGAACUUUUAAACAAACCCUUAAAAAGUAAUAAGUUUUUUAAAAUUAUAAAUUUUAUUUUUCAAAAAUUGACUUGAAUAGAAGUAGUGUUAUUAAGUUAUGAAAUUAGAUUAUAAGUUUCAAUUUCAUGAAUACACUUCACUAAACUUUAGGUAGCACUGGUAAAAUAAUUGAAUUGGUGCAGUAUGAAAUCCACAAAUUUUGUUAUAACUUUUGGUGAGUACUAACCAUAAAAGUAAAAUUAAGAAACAUAAUAAUGUAAAUAGAAAAGAGGGGAUUAAUAGGGAGGUGAAGAAAUAAGAUGAAAAAUGAUCCAUGAUAUGGAGGUUUAAGCAAAGGAAGGAAGUUGAAAAGAAUAGGUAGGGAAAAUAAGAAAAGGAAGGAAGGAAGGAAGUUGGAAAGAAAAAAGAAAAAAUAGAAAUGAAAAUGAUGAUUUAAGUGAUAAUAAAAGAAGGAAAAGAAUAAAAGGAAGUAUUAAACAAAACUAGAAAAGAGAAUAAAGGGGAAAGGGAGGAAAGAAAAGAAAGUGCAAUAAAAGCGGUCCAAGUUGACAAAAUUUUUGUAAAGAAAUGGGUUUUAGUUUUACACUCAAAACACAAAACAACAGUCAAAUUAUGGGAGACCAAAAUUCAGUGAGUCAACUCGUUCCUUAUUCCCCGAGUCUUAAAUUCCCAUAACCCGGUCAAUUAUUUCUCUCUUCCAAUUAUUUAUUUAUUUAUUUAUUUUUAUUUUUAACCUAUGAAACUAAACUAAUAAUAAAAAUGAAAAAAAAAUCUCUCUCUUUUUUAAAAAUAUUUUGAGGGUUAUAUUUAUUAAACAUACAAUAAGAUGUAACCCUAAAUGGACCCCACUUUCUGAAACUUAACCACACAUUACAAAACCAUAGUUAAAGUUUAAAAAGAAAAAGAAAAGAAAAAACACCCAACAAACUUAACUUGGGUUUACAAGCACCACCACAAAGCCCAACCCCUCGUUUUAUUUUCUUUUCUUUUUCAAAUAUUUCUAAUUUUCUUUUCUUUUUUUAUUUUUCCUUCUAAAUUUAACAUUAUUAUUAUUAUUAUUAUUAUUAUCAACAGUCAUCACUGCUCAUCAUCAUCUCCUUUUUUCCUCUUCUUCUUCAUCUUUCUUCUUCUUUUUCUGUCUCUCCUUUUUCUGGUUUCUCUAUUUUCAAACCCAUCUCUUCUCUAAUUUUCCUUUUUCCUACCAAUUUUCUCCGCAAACAAACACAAUUUCACUUCCGCUUUUCAACUUAUACCAAUUUUAAUCUUUGUUUUCAUUUCUUUUUUGUAAAGCGUUUUUAGUGAGACUCUUUUAAGACUGUGUUUUUCUCUGUUUUUGGUUGUGUUUUUUUUUUAUUCUUUUUUUUUUUUUUUUUUUAGCUUUUUUUUUUGGUUACCCUAAAUGUUUGAGCUAUGGACCUGACUCCUGCAAUUUCCACCGCCGCCGCCACCAUUUCCACCGGUGGAGGAGCUGUGAAAUCCCCUGAAUUAGAAUCCGAAACACCCAUCAAAAUCCAACCCACCACCAAAUCUCACCCCUUCACCAACGGCGUCCUCAAGCGCCACCACCACACAGCGCCGCCCCCUCCUCAGGUGGUUUACAAAGAAUGCCUCAAAAAUCACGCCGCCAGUUUAGGCGGCCACGCUCUAGACGGCUGUGGUGAGUUCAUGCCAUCCCCAACCGCCACCGCCACGGAUCCCACCUCCCUCAAAUGCGCCGCUUGCGGCUGCCAUCGAAAUUUCCACCGCCGUGAACCGGAUGACCCAAUCGCUACUCCAACGACAACCCAUGUCAUUGAGUACCAACCCCAUCACCGUCACCACCCGCCGCCUCCGUCUACGGCGGCGGCGGCCCAUCGGAGUCCGAGUUCCGCAUCUCCUCCUCCGAUCUCCUCAUCGUACUACCCUUCCGCACCCCACAUGCUUCUAGCCCUCUCCGGUGUGCUGCCGGAGAACGCUGGGGGCGGCGGUGGAUUCCACCACACGAUUCUGACUCCGAGUCCUAAUUCGAGAAAGCGAUUCAGAACGAAAUUCACUCAAAAUCAGAAGGAGAGAAUGUACGAAUUUGCGGAGAAAGUAGGAUGGAAGAUUCAGAAGCGAGACGAGGAUAUGAUUCAAGAAUUCUGCAGCGACGUCGGAGUUGACAGAGGGGUUCUCAAAGUUUGGAUGCAUAACAACAAAAACACCCUCGGGAAAAAAGACGGCGGCCGGAAUAUGAACGGCAGCGGUGGCGAAGGAGACGGCGACGAGAAAAUUAACGGCGGUGGCGAACCACACGCCACAACAAAUGGGUCGUCUUCAUCAUCUUGAUCUGAAUAAAUUGUUCGAUGCGAUGUUAGAGAGAAAAUCAGAGAUAGAAGAGUAAGCUCUUUUUUUUAAUUAUUAUUUUUAUUUUUAUUUUUAUUUUUUUUGCUCCUCUUCUUUAAAUUUUAAGUUCAUUUUCUAAUUACAUUUCAAUAUCUAAAUUUCCCACUCCAAAAUAUUUUCUAAUUUUGUCUUUAAUUAAAUUAACGAGAAGAACACCUUGAUAAUAUAUGCUGAGAAUUUAACUUAAGGAAUAAUAAUAUGUAUAUAUAUAUAGACAUAUGUAGCUCAUCAUCUUCAUCAUUAAUCCAUCUAAUUACUUCGAUUAAAUUUCUUAAUCAUUUUCCCCUUCUUGCUUAAUCUCAUUAAUCCUAAUAAUUAAACAAGAACAUCUUCUGGAAAUCCCAAAUAGUAUUACCAAACAAAUUUUCUUUCUUUCUUUCUCUCUUUUUAGAUGUUAUUAAUUGUUAUGAAUCUGAUUUAGAGAGAGGAGAGAGAGAGAUAUAUAUUUCUUAAUUUCUGUCUGAGAGAAAGCAGCAGAAAGUGUUUUUGUUCCUUUAAAUUAUUCUACACUAUCCCAAAUAUUUGAACACUGUAUUUUUUUUUUCUUAAAAAAAUGAAUUAUUGUAGAAAAUAUUAAUGAAAUAAUCCAUAUGAUUAAGAGAGAAUAUUUAAACGUUUAACAAAAAUAAUAAAGAAAAAUAUCGUAAUAUUAGAAAAAGUGUGAGAAUCCCUUCAGUGCUUUUUAAUAUUCUUCAAAGUGCAAACAAACAAACAAAAGCAUAGCAAUCUUUGUUCUUGUUUCUUAGCUUUUGGGGGUUUUAUGUAAAAAUAAAUCAUGAGAAAUAUUAUUAAUCAAAAUGAAGAAGGAGAAAAAAAAAUGAACCCUGACAUUUUAACAAUUAUUGUUUAUGGAAUCCAUAUAUACAAUCCAAAGUUAUAAUAUAAUUUUAGAUUAAGAAAUAAAUCAAUCAUUAGGGUUUUAGAUUUUACUUUUCUUUUUUAAUGUUUGCAUGUGGCAAUUAGGGAAUUUGUUAAAUGAACUUCCCUUUUAAGGUAAGCUUAGAUACUAUAUUUUAUUUGUGUAUUGUUUGAUUGAAUAUAUAAUAGUGAUGAUGGGAGUUGUACUUUCAAAUGUCUUGUCUAUUGAUUUGCAUUACCACUUUUAAGCUUUGUUUAAUCUUUUCAUUAUUAAAUAAUUAACCUUGAGUCAUCCCUAAUCUUUGUCUUUUUUUCUUUAUGAUUGUUAUUAUAUAAUUUUUUAAAGAAAAGUUUUUCAAAAAGGGCCCAAUUUUUGUAACUUCAAGUAGAAGAAGUCUACCUGACAUUUGAAUUUGGUGUAGAAAGUUUAUUGUUAACAAAAUAUGCCUUAUAUUAUAUAUUAUUUUAAUAUCUUAGUUUAAAUUAAAUUGUUGUUUUAGUUUCUUAAUCAUAUCUCAGCCUAUGUGGCUUCAAUAAUCAUUAUGUCAACCUAUUAAUGGUAAUUGUCAUAUACAAUAAUACCCUUUUCUUUAAAUCAAGAGUUUAUUGGAUAACAUAUUAAUGAACAUGGAAUGUUAAAUAAUUGACCAAAAAAUAAUACGAAUUAUGGAAAUGUUCUCAUCUUUCUUAGUGUUACGGAUUUCAACAAGUAUUUUUCAAUUGUGCGAGAGGACUAAAAUUAAAUAAACAUACAAAAAAUACUAUGUUUUAAAUAUGUGCUUUAAUUUGUGAAUUCUCAUAGCUUAAUUGGUAUGAGACAUACAAUUAUAAGUUGAUUGAUGGGUUGUGUUUUCCAUUUUUAAAAUUUUGUUUUCUAUAAAAUAAAAUAUGUACUAACCCUCUAAUUGAUCUAUACCAACUGACAAUUGUUGGUUUGUUCAAAUCACUGUCCUUACUCGUUUGGAUCAAUUUUCGGUGAAUUUGUAUAUGUUUGUAACAUAUUAGUACUCUAGUUGAUUACAAGAUCAAAUAUUGAUAGGGAUCACUUGCUAAGAUGUUGAAAAGAGAGACUAUUAAAGUUGGUUUGAUAUAUAUACCCAUCUUGGAUUGAGAGGGGAGACAUUUCAAUCUUUGUUGGCAUAAUCAAACUUGAUAGAUAUCAUUUGUGUCUUUAACAAUCCAAACGUUAAUCUUUUUUAGAUAAAAACAAUAUGGGUAUAUGCAACUACCUCGAUUGUCAAGAGUUUAAGUGAAGUCUCAUUUGGUAAUGGAAUCCUUUAUUCUUAAAUAUGUCAUUUGUUAGGUUAACUUUUGGUUUUAACAAAGUUUGAUUCUCUUUACAUAAAAAAAGUGGAAGUCGAAUGAUUGUUCCUCUAAUAUUGAUGAAUGAACUACAUGCCAAUUACAAUUGAACUAGGCAUAUUUCGUCAAAUAACUAUUAACAAAAUCAAUACUUAUUUAUGAAGAAUAUAGCAAACAACUAUUAUUCAAUGAUAGUUGAUAUGAUAUCUAUGACAGUUGAUUACUAAUAUAAGAAAAAUCAUUUUGUUGAGAUGUGAGAAUGCGAUUUGAUUGAAAGUUAGUAAUCAAGACCAACUUGCCAAGAUAUACAUCUUUCAUUAUCCAUUUUCUACCGUAGUUUUAAGUAUCAACCUAAACAAAUUUUUGAAAACAUAAAAAAAAGUAAAGAUCAUAUUUUGGUAUGAAUUUCAUUUGAGUUUAUUAUUAUUAUUUUGAAAUGUAGGAUUGUUUUUUCCCUCAAUUUUUCAACCAUAUUUUUUAGAUAUAUCAAAAAGCAACACUUGAACUCCUAAUUAAAAUUUAAAACUAUAAACAAAAUUUUGAAAGUCAAUAGUUUUAAAAAAAAAUUGGGGAGCAAAACAUAGAAAUUUGAAAGUAAAACUAGUGUUUAUAAGUUUAAUUUGCAAAAGCGUAAUCAAGUAAGAUGAAUUUACUUAUAGAUAUAUAUAAAAGGGAUAUUUCAAACAUAGCAAAAUAAAUUAAAAUAUUUAUAAAUUAUAACAAAAUUUUGGAUUCUAUCACUGUCUAUUAAUGUCACUGAUAGAAACAUAUCAGUGUCCAUCAAUGUCUAUUAUUGAUAACAUUUAAAAAUUUAACUAUAUGUUAUCAAAUUUGCUAUUGUUGACAAUUUUCUAUAUAAAAUUUGACUAGUAAUUUUAAAAAAAUUAAACAAAAGUGAAAACAAAAACAAGAUUAUACAAAUAUCAAGACUAGCUUAAAAAACGAAAUUCUAUUCAAACCAAAGGAGACAAUUCUAUAUUUAUUAUUUGUCACUUUUUCUUCCAUUUGACUUGUAUUGUGUAUAUUUUCAUGGUAUGUUGUAUUUUGAGAAUCUAAAAUAGGUGUUUGAAUAAAUAUUGAAAAGUUUCACCAACAUAAGUUUUUCUUUUAAUUGAAAAGGCACCUCUCCUUCAUUGUGUCCAAAGUACUUAUUUUUCAUGAUCACGUUUAUUUUUAACAAAACCAUAAAAUAUUUUGCAAAAUCAUGAAGCUCUUUUGACUAGUUUUGUGUUUUUUCUUUUCAAAAUUAUUUUCUAAGAACAUAUGAUGAAAAAAUUAUACAUUUUUUAAACAAGUUAAGAUGUUUAUAUAUUAAUAUUAAUUUAUACGUGAUUUAAUAAAUAAAUAAAUAAAUAACUAAAAGGAGAAGAGAUAUGUUUGAUGAUGGAAACUUAAUAGAAGUUGUAAAGAAGAAGAAAAAAGAGAGAGAUGGGAAUUUUGGAAAGAAAGGCUACAAAAUCCCUAGUUGGUGAAGAGCAAUAAAGUUGGAUUGGCCUACUAAAUCCCAUCCCUUUAACCCUCUUUUUCUUCAAUCCAGCUGUUUUCAUGUACUUUCCUUUUGCUUUCAUACCCCAUACCCAUAUCUUGCAUAGUUGCAUAUGCAUGUGUGACUACCUACAAAAGGUAUUUUGUAGGUUUUUUCUUUUCUUUUUCAAUAACCAAAUAUCCAUUCUUAUUAUUCCAAUUAAUUAAAUACUCCCUUCCAAAUACUAUUUUACUUAUCACUUUAUUGUUCCAUUCUUCUUUUUUUGUCCUUUCUUAAUAAACUCUCAUUUUCUCAAACUAAGUUUCUAAGUUUCAUCUCCACUUCAAUAAUUCUUGUAUUACAAAAACUAAUUUCUCCAAUCAUUUCAAAUUAGAUACUUCCUAUAUUAUUAAUUAAAAUUAACUAUUUUUUUUCCUUUUAAAAAAUAUAUACUUCUACUUCUACUUCUACUUUCUUUCUUUCUUGCUUCCUAUAAUCUUUUUAAGUUAUAAUUAUUCAAACAACCAUGUUCUUUCUUCAAAGUUAGCAUGUUAGAUUAUGCAUUUACAGAAUGUAUGACAGUAAGUUUAGUUUCUUUAAUUAGAAGAUGUUUUUCUUUCUUUUUCAAAUUAACAAUUUGUUACUUUUAUAAUCUACUAUUUCAAAUCUUAACUAAAACUACAAAAAAAAAAUAAAAAAGGAAAAUGAAGGGUUAAUUCAAUAGUAAUUUGGAGUGAAAGGGAAGUUAGAGAAAGUUAAUAAUUAGGAAAACCUAAUUAGGGAGUGGGAUGCAUAAGUUGGAAGUAAUUAUGAAAACUUGGUGAAGAAGGGGGGGGAUGAGGGUUUAUAAUUAUAAUUCGAACUUAGUCAUUAUCUGUCCCUUUGCACUAUUGUUUGACUAUGACCUUCCAAUUCUAUGAUUAGAAAGUUGUAAGUUUGAAGAACCUUACACAAACACACAACCCCAUUUGCCCAUUAACUUGAUGGUGACCAAAUAUGUGUGCCUCUUUUUUGGACUUCCAAAACCUUGCCAUUUUUAUUUUCUUCUACGAUGUUAUAUUAUAAACAUUUAUUAUCAUCAUCAUAAAAUCAAGUAAAUUAAACACUAAAAAUAAUAUUCUAGACCUUUAGUGAAUUCAGUUCAAUCUUAAGUGUUCCUUUUAUAUUAUCAAAUCCACACAUCAUCAAAUGGAUUAAUAGAAUUUGACAACAAAGUAUUGGAUUUUUAUGAUUUUCAUGGAUAACUUUUAUGAAUUUCAAUGUAUCCCAAAUGGUUUGUUAGUAGAGAUGUUCACAAGUCUCUUUUUCUAAUGAUACAACACGUUAUCUCACACAAAUUGAAAAUUACUAAUAUAUGAAACAUAAUUAUAUGUUUUAUAAUUAAAUUAAUUUGUUGUCGUAUGCACGAUUAAGAAAUAAAUAAAAAGUUUACAUGGAAUAUAUAUAUUAUCAUGAACCCAUAACAUUUAUGGUCUCAUUUCAUUUUUUUUAGUUUCUUUUUCUAUUUUUCUAUUUAUGUUUUUUGCACUUUCUUUUAACAUCAUUCACACUUCCUUGAGAGCACAUUUGAAUUGUAGGAUAAGAAAAAAUUGUAUACAUAAUAUCAAGUUGUUUAAAAUAUAUAUAGAGAUGUUAAAAAAGUAGAUGAAAGUAAAAAAAAAAAAAAAUUAUAGCACUGAACUAAAAUAUUUGUUAAAAUAACAAAAUUAUAGUGUAUAAUCACUAUUAGACUGCAACCUUUUAUUGUAUUCAUAAAUAUUUUCGACAAUUUUAUCAUUCAAAAUAAUUUUUUUAAUUAACCUUUUUAUUAUAUAUUUGAUUGUUUGAUCAUCUUAAAUGCUUCAACAAUCCAAAAAUAUCAAAAUAUCACUAAAGAUUGCUUUUUAGCAACUUUUGAAUAUUUUGGAUAGGUUGAAUUUGUAGAGUAUGUUUAAAGGUGAUUAAAUCAUGGUUAAAAUUAUUUUUAAAAUCGCUGAAAAAAAUAUAUUCAAUAUCCAUUUAGGUUUGAAGAUAAAAAGUAUAAAAUUAAAUAUAUAUUAAAUUAACUUUUAAGUGAUUAUAUACAUAUUUCAUAAUGAAUUUAAACAUAACAAAAAGAAAAUCAUUCUAAAACUAUUUAUAAACUAUAGUAAAAUGUAUAACAUAACCUAUUUUAAAAGAAUUUUACUAGUUCCGUCAUUUUCUUUUACCUAUAAGAAUUUCUAUAACAUUUUAAAGAUUUUAUAUUAAUUUAAUAUUUUGAGGUUGAGAUGUAAUGAAUAUAGUAAGUUAUAGAUGUGUAAAAUAUUGUAAAAAUUGACGGGUAGAAUGUAGUAAGUUAGAGUCAAUUUGAUUAUGGAAUUGAUGUGUAUUAACUAUUAAGCUGCCUUGAGAUUGAGAUUGUGAGAUGGAGUUUAAGUACCCUCCAUUUAAGAAAAAACAACUGUUUUGGGUUAUACCAUAUGUUAAUUAUAUUUAGUCAACGCUUAAAGUUUAGACAUAUUCUAUCCUUAAAAAAAACAAAAAAAAAAUAAAAAGUUGGACUUAUUCUUAUAUUUUGGGAUAUUUAAAUAACUCGAUAAUCUCAACAAUUUGAAACACCUUAUCUAAGGGUUGACUUAGCUUUAUAUUAUUUGAGUUUAAUCUAAUCGAACUUUUUCCAUUUUUGUGGGGUUGAGCUAUGCUAGGAUUCAAUCUUUUUUAUCAAAAUAUUUACAAAAUAUAACAAAAUUAUCAAAGAUAAACACUAGAAAUUGAUAGAAGUUUAUAUUGGUAUCUAGUCUAUAAAUGUUUAUCAUCUAUAGAUUAUGAAAUUUUAUUACAAUUACAAUAAUUUUCCACAUAUAUAUAUAUAUUUCUUCUUUGUGAGAUGAAUUUAGGAAUUGUGUAUGUUUUUCUUUCCACCAUGUUUGUUUUUGUAUCAAAUUUGUAACAAAUAUUACAUAUAUUUGGUAGGUAAGAAUUGAGUUUUAUGAAACUUUAGUUAUUAGACAUGAGUGGAGGAUAAGUUUCAAUUUUUUUUAAAAAUGACGUUCUCUAAAAAAAAUAUGAGGUAAACGAGAAAGUAUUGACAAAAAUAGGAUAGCAAAGUCGUGUACACGGUACAAAAUCGGCUUACCUGUCCAUCUUGUGUGGCUGUCAACACUGUCAUGUUGUUCGACAUGCAGGACGGAAUUAGGUGCACGACUUUAGGAGGAAAUUAUGUACUGGAUAUACGACUUCUCCAAUUUGAAAAUCCUAGUCACAUACCAUUUUUCUUUCCAUCUUUGCUUCAAAAAAAAAAAAAAAAAUCUCCCUCCCUCUCCCCCUUUGCGUAGCUACCAUCGUCACGAUCCCCCUCUUUGUCUCAUUCAUCAUUCCACUGUUUAUCAUUGUUUUAUUAGGAAUUUUAGGGUAUGAUUGUUAGUAUAUAACUAUCUAAAUGUAUAUUAUUAGCAAUCCUGAUCCCCUCUUUGUCUCGUAUGUCAUCCCCCAUAUAUAACUAUCUAAAUGUGUGUUAGUAUCCAAUCGCUUCCAAAUUUUGCACUAAUAAUUGUUAAGGAAAUAUAGUUACUUUUUUUACAAAAUUAAAAUUUAUUUGAUCAAAAUGAACUUAAUUUAAUAGAAAUAAUAGACAUUAUAUUUAUUUAUCAGUUUCAAAGUAAAGUUAAAGAUUCGAUUAUUCAUCUACAUCAAAUAAACUAUAAAUAUAAACACGUAUUUAUCGUCAUACCAAACAAUAUUUUUUUUGAAAAAGAAUCUCUAUAAAACAACAAUAUAAUAUUCUUCUUUUUUUUCCUUCACAAAAGUUGGAUCCUUUGUGUAAUAAAAAACAUAUCGCAUUAUGCCUCUAUUUUCUUUCACACAAUAAGUUUCUUUAAGUAUAAAAUGAUUUCGACCCUCCAACUUUUAUUUCUCUUAUUUCUUAUCUUCUUAAAUCUCGAAUUUUUGUUUUUUAGUAUAUAAUAUCACUAUUUUUUAGUUGACCUCAAUGAAUUUAUCCUUCUUACCAUAUUUUAUAUAAUAUAGAUCUACAUCCAUUAUAUUGGAGAUUAGGUAGUCACCCAUAAGAUUUAUGCUUAAUUUUGCAUACUUUAUUUUUUUAUUUAUUUAAUUUUGUAACAACUGUAAACAAGACUAGAUUAAAGCCAAUAAUGAAUAUUCGACUUUACCCUUUAGUUAAAUUUCACAUUUAAUUCUGUCACACUCGAUUCAUAUUUUUCAAAGAGUUUUUAAUAUAUAUAUACAUUAAAAUUGUUGGAAGGAAAAUUGCAUCAAAUGACAAAAAAAAUUAGGAAAAAAACCUCCACAUUUCUUUUUUACAUAUUGUGACAAAUAUGACAAGUAAUAAAUGAUAUUAGAUGGUCAUUAAACAGUUAUCAGACAACUAUCGUAGGACUAUUAGAGGGUUAUCCACUUUUAAAUUUGCUACUUUUGUAAUUUAGAAAAUGUAGUGACAUAUAUUCUAUCAUCAUAUUUUUUUUUUUUUGCAAUUUUUACAAAUAUCCCUUAUUUGAAUGGAUUUGUGUGUAUUUGUAUUAUUUCUAUUUUUCUCAUGUUUUUAUGAAACAUAUAUUAAUAUUCAAUAGUGUUGUAUUUUCUCAUUUUUUGUUUUUUUCGAGAACAAAAAUAAAAACAUUAUUUUAUAUUAUUUUAUUUAUAAACUACGUACACAACAAAUAUUAAUAAAAAUGAAAAUAUGUAACUUCACACACGUUACUUGAAAUUUUUAGAUUUUUUCUAAAAUUUAAAAAUUCAAAUAGAAAAGACCUAGAUAUGUGAUCUCUCUUCUAGAAUUAGUUGAUAGUAACUAAUUGAGAUGUUCAUGUGUACUUGUGGAUCAUAUAUUUACUUCUAAUACUUUGUUAAAAAAGAAAAAUCUACUCGAUAAAAUUUUCUUAACCUCAAUCGUAUUUUAAAAAAAUUGAAAGUCGUUUAAACACAAACACUAAUUUUCAUAAAACUAAACAAAAAAAAAGUACAACUCUAAGUACAUACACAUAUGAAUAAGUAGCAUAGAAGAUUUAGAGAUCUAAUAAUUAAAUUGAGUUGCAUGUGAUUGUUGGAAUCUAAUAUGAUUUGCAUAAGAAUUGUAUGAAAUGAAAUGGUGAUAGAUCAAAUCAAAAGUGUUGAAAAAUAAACUUUAAGUCCCCUCAACAAACUAUUAUCAUUGGCCUAUAUAUAUAGAUGAGAGGGAUAUAAGUUAAAAGAAAGCCUAAAUUGGCAUGAUAGUAAUAUAGACAAAAAUCAUGUGAUAAAUUUGAUGAUAAAUAGAAAGAAAGAGAGAGAUGACUUUAUAAAUCCAACAAAUUAAAGCUAACAAAAUAUAUGCAUAACAUGUGGUGUGGGGUAAAUAAAUACAAAAAUUAAUUGCUUUUUAAUAUGUGAUUAUAAGAGAGACACAUGACUUUGCUUUAAUUAAUUGGUCUAAAUCAUCUACAUAUCUAUCUUCUUCUUCGGAUUGAAAAAAAAAAAAGAAGCCAAAAUUCCUUUCUUUUCUUUCUAGCAUAACUUGUACCUUUACUAUUUGAUAAUAAUUUUGUUUCAAGUACGAUACUUUUCUUUUAUUUAACAAAAACAAAAAAGAAAAUUAUAGUGGAAAGUAUCAUUUGAAAAGUCUCGUUAAUUCAUUUUUUAAAAAUAAGAAAAACAUUUAUUCCUUUAGAGUAAAUAUUAAAAAUUAUUGUAGAUAUAUAAUUUUAAAUUUUCUACGUUUGCAAAUAUAACAAAGAAGAUAUAGCAAAAUGCAAAAUAUAUAUAUAUAUAGCAGUAUCAUGUAUGUUAAUAUAAAUUCUAAAUUUUCACAAACUCAAACAAUUAGAUAUUCCAUAAACUUUUGUUUAAAGAAAAUUCGUGCAUAUGAAUUCUCAAACGUACCGACUUCUUUCAAGUUUAGUUUAAGAAAAUAGACAAUUAGAGUAAAUGAACAGAUAAUUUUCAAAAACAAUUAUUUUUAAAAGUCUAAAUUAAUUCAUUCCAAAAAAAUUUGAUGGAUUUAUUUGAUACAAUUUGUAAAGGAAAUGUAAUAAAUGGUGUGAAUAGAUUUAUUUUAAAAAAUUAAGAAUUUUAAAUAGAUAUAAUUUGUAAAGUACUUGAGAGAAACAAAUUGAUAUUAAAACAAAAAAACAAAAAAAAAGGUUAUGAAACCUACUUAGUCUUUAAGAAUGGGAUAAAAAAGAAGACAUAUAUAAGAAUAUAAUGAAACACAAAACCUAAAUUUGCAAAAGACUUUUUUAAAAAAAUGAAAAGAGAAGCUUAAUAUUCGAAAAGGUGAAAGAAAAAUAGGAACGAAUUUGUGGAUGAAAAGAACUUAACCUUUUAUUUUAAAAUGUAACAUUUGAAUGAGGUUUUAAAAAAUAGAAAGAGAAAUAUUACAAAAUAAAGAAUGAAAAUGUUUAUUAAAUAAGAAUUAAAAAGUCAAUAUGAGGACCACAAAUUAUUUAUAUAUGGAAUAAAAAUGGUGCAUUUUAGUAAUGCUGUGGUCCUUUUUUCUUUUUCUUUUUUUCAAUUUUAUUUUACUUCUUUUAAAUCCUCAUAUCUCUGACUUCCAUACCUAUUAUAUUCUUUCAAGAUAAAUCACCUUUUGAUUUUGCAGAUUUCUCAAAAUUCCUUUUUCCCCUUUCUCCAUUUCUUCAAAAUUUAUUACUAUAUUGGAAAAUUCAAUUAAAAAACACUUUUAUGAAAGGGUCUAACUAACACCAUGUUUCAAAACAUGACUCAUAAUAUAAACACAACACUAGCUGAACUAGAUAUGUCAAAUUAAUUACAUAUUAUCUAGGAAGAGUUAGAAGAUAAGACAAAAACUAUAUUGCUAUAUGUAUGAACAUAUAUAUAUAAUGAUAAUGGUCCCUGGGACAAGUUUUUGAAUCUUUAAAUUAAUUAAGAGGAAGUUGAAAAAGAGUUAGGUAUUUAUGUUUACGGCUUCCACAAUUAUAGACAUUGAAGUGGUUGAAAAAAAAUGGAAGAAGAAUAUUUAGUAAAACAUAUAUUUAGUCAUCUUUUUUUAGAAGAGAAUAUAUAUUGUAGUUAUGUUUGAAAUACUAGUUAGUACUAUAUUACUAGUGUUAUUCCUUAGCUUCUUGUGACCGUUGGAAACAUCAUAUUAGUACCACUUCACAUGUAUAAGCCUCUGCGCAUUUAAUAGAAAUCAAACAGAUAAUGAAUGAAGUUUGGUAGAGAAAAAUGGACCACUUCCUCUCUGUGUUGGAUCAACCCAAAAUUAACUCUCAAAUUCCCUUCUCUCCCACAUUUUUUAAGCCAUGUUGUAGUAACAUCGGAAUAGCCGGUUAUUUGUCAAACUUCUUCCAAUGCUAACAUAAAUAGCAUUUUGGGAGACGACAGGUUAUCUAAUUCUCUCUAUGUAUCUUUACUAAUCUCCAAAUACCGAACAUUAUACAUAUUCUCUUCACCUCAAUUUAACUCACUACCUACCAUUUAGAGAAGUAGGUUAUAUAUAUGAUGACUCUAGCUUUGAAUGGUUGUGGUAGUGGAUUGGUGAAGCAAGUGUAUGCCUUCAAAUUUAGUGAGAUUAAAGGGUUAUUUUCUCAACCUUCUCCUCUACUCUUCCAGAAUUUUGGGUAAACAUUCAUCUUUCUUCUCUUUCAUCUCAAAAGGGGUAGAUUUGAGCUUUAAUAAGCUGAGCAACAUAAGUAUAUAGUAUGGAGAAAAGGUAUAGUUUAUUUUUUUCCUUCUAUUCUUUUCAUGUUUUGAAAUUUUCAAUUUUAGGUUGCUAUCAAAUUUAGUUUAGGUAAUUUGGAUAGCUUUAGGAGUUAGAAAUUUUCCCUAUCAUUUGAUAUAUAAAACCUUUUUUAAAAUACUCAAUCAUUAGAUAAAAUCUUGUGAAAAAUAAAUCUUUAAUUUCUCACUUUUGAGAAUUGGUAAUAGUUAGUCUAAAAUAACUAUUAUUUUUUCUCACUCAACUUCUAAAAAAUUUAUAAAUAUUUUACGAACCAAAUUUGUUUAGGAAACAAAUUAAAACACAUAUAUAGUAUCAAACUAGUUAUGUUUACAAUACAUUUCUUCAAAGUACGAGGGGUUUCUCUUUUUUAAUUUUUUUUUUUUUUGUUAAAUUAGAAUUGAUACAUUCAAUUUUUAUACUUUUUUUUACAAAUUUUCAAAUGUCGAAUUAGUAAAAUACAUAGACAAGGUUUGAAGAAAAACUUAAUUGUGAGUGUUUAAAUUAACCCACUCUGUAAAAAUUUAGGAGUUUGAUUAAUAAAAUGAUAAAUCUCGUCUGCAAUGUUUAUACAAAUAGAACACAAUGAAAGAUAUUAAUUAAUAACUUAAAGAUAUUAGAAAGAUUAAAUACACAUAGAUAAAUAUAUACAUGCACUCAAGUGUGUGUUAAUAUAUAUAUAUAUAUAUAUAUAUUUCGUUUCAUACUCACACAAUUCUCUUUUUCAUACAUUUAUAUAGUUUUAAAUUAACAAGUGCAUGUCAUUCAUCACAUCUAUUCUUCUGUCACCUUAUGUUUUAUUACUAUACCUUGAACGGUCACAUGCUACACCAGUUUGGUAUUAAAAUCAAAUGUCAUUAAUGAGAUGUAUUAGUUGAAUUAAAAUAGCAUUAUAUAUAUAUAUUUAAUGCUAUUUUAAUUCAACUAAUACAUAUAAAAGGUGAUUAUUGUUAUAUUAAUGACUAAAUUAAGUUUGUGGAGAAAAAAAGGGAGAGGGUACUCCGUACAAAGGAUGGAGUGAAAGAGGCCCAAGUUGUUGUUGGGCUGAAAAGGGAAGGGAAGCAAUUGAAAAGACUGAAUUUGUUGAUUGUUGCGUUGUUUACAAAACUUUUUCAGGAGAGGCCCAAUAAUAACUCAUCAUAUGUAUAUUUGAUCCCCACUUGAACCCCUCUUUCAUCCAUCGUCUUUUGCAUCUACUAAAUACACGAAUAAACACAUUUCCAAUCCUUCCAAAAAUUAUCACAUCCCAAAAGUUUAUUGAACUACUUUCGGUAUGUAUUUGAAAAACAAAAACAAAAACUAGUGAUUUUUAGUUUUUCGUUCUAAUAAUUUUGUGGGCAUAUAAUGAUUAUUUUUUUUUUUGGUUAAUUUCAUUUUUUUAAAAAAAAAAUUACGGACCUUCUUAGACAUGGUCAAGAAAUUAUUAGAUAUUUUGAAAUUUAAAGACGUGUUAAACAUAAUUUUUUAAAUAAUGUUAGACAAAAUAAUAAUUAAAAAUCUUACUUAACACUUUCUAAAAUUAAGCUAUAGAGUAACCUUAAAAUUUAAUCCAGAUUUUAUGAGUAUUAAUUCAAUAUUCAUACGUAAUAUACCAGUGAAACUCAUUUAAUGAAAUAAAUAAAUUAGAUUUAGGGAUCUUUUCACCUACAGUAGAAAAAUUAUCAAAAGAAAUAAUUUUAUUGUUUUAAUAUAUUUGAAAAUAAUUUAACAUUUUUGUCUUUUAAAUUUAUAUAUUAAAACAUUCAUUUUUAAAAUAUGCUUAAUUUAUUUUACAAAAACAAUUCAUGAAAAUAAACUAAUGUUUAUGACUAGAAAUAGGAUUUCAUCUAUCAACAGUGACUUACUGACAGUAAUUGAAAAAAAAAGUUUUUUUUCGUAAUAGAUUUUAACUAGCAUUCUUAAUUUAAAGUCUUGUUUAAUAAUUUUUUUCCCUUCCAAAAAGAAUAAAGGAAAAUAAAAGGAAAAGUUGACGAGUUCUAAGAUCAUUCACCACCUUUCUCCUCUCCAAUCAACAUCUCUUAAUUGCUUCCUUUGACUUUGUGGACUUCAUUGAAUUCCUUAGAAAGAAAGUUUAGAUUAUUUCAUUAACUUCUAAUAAAACGAAAAAAAAAAUAAAUCCUUAAAAAUUUAAGACAUAUUUAAAAAUCUAAUGUCGGUAAACUAGUAAUUUAAAUUUAAAACUAUUAUCGUAACUUUACUUUCGAUAUUUUAAUUAUAUGAACUUACUCAACUUGAAAUAUUCAUAUAUUGAGUGAUAUGAAACAUGUGGAUAAAAGAAAGUAUAUUAAAAGAACCAAUGAAAUUGUUAGGUUGUAGGUGAUGAAUUCAUAUUCUAUAUCCUAGAGUUUAGGACGCUACAAUUGUAAUGAUCAUUAAAUCUUCCAUUCAUACUCUUUUUUCAUUGAGUUUAAUUGUUAGAAGUGAUGAGUUGAGUUAAAUAGAAUAGAAAAAAGUAAUGGCGAGAAUGGUAUUUGAAUUAAGCAAUGUAUUUAGUUAUUAAUUGAUCAUAAAAUGUGAUUAAUUGAAAUGAUUCAAGUUGAUGAGAGAAAGGAGAGAAGAUUGAUGGUUGUGGUAGAUGUAGUGGAAUGAAUUUUGUUAAACAAAUCCAAUGUAUGAAGAAUAAGAAGAAAGAUGAUAUGAGUUGAUAUAAGAGGUCACCCUUUUGUUCUGUAUUAGAUAUGGAAUGGAGUAAAGGUGUAGGCUGUAAGGAAAUUUAAAAUGGGGGGGGCGGUGGGGAAAGGAGGGAGAGAGUGGGAGAGUGGGAGAGUAGGAGAGGAGUGUUCUAGAAAGGAACAAGUCUCGACGCAACCUUGAAGACCACUUAGGAUUAUGAUUUAUGAACCUUUGUCGGUGUUGACUAUUUCUUUUCUUCCAUAGUCAAAACCAAAUCCACAUUUUCCAGUUGGAAGAUUUUCAACAAACAAUACAAUACACACUUCACUUCAUCUAUUUAAUGCUUUUCCAUCUCUUUUUUUCUCCAUCACAUCAUUUUCUAUUAUUAAAUAUUAAAUAACAACAACAAUAAUGACCAUCAUUAUCAUAUUAAACAAUAAUAAUAGACUACUCCAAUUACACUUUGAACUAAUCUCUUCAUUCACAAAAACAAUCUAUCCACACUUCAAACAUAAUUUAUAUAAUUAUCAUAUGUCUUUUUCUUCUCAAUUAAUUUUACCAAAUAAUGUCACUUAACUUCAUCAAUUAUUUUCACCAUGGAAUUCAAUUCACCUACCCUAACUUCUAUUAACCUAGCUGGUUCCCAUUUCUUUUAUUUCAUAAGAAAAGAAAAGUUUGGUUGUUGACUAACAUGUUUCAUCACUCAACUUACUCACAAAAAAAAAAGAUAGAAAGGAACUUUGCACCAUGUGUUGAGAUACAUUCUAUGGGUGUAAAGCAUAUGGAUUUUUGUCAACCAAGGGUUUUAUAGCUUCAUAAAUGCUUUCAUCCCCACAAAAUUUUAUAGAUAAUAGCUCUUUUCAUAAAAUAUUUUAUCUCAAAUAUACCUUAUUCAUUAGUUUAUUUAUACUACCGAUACAACAAAAAGAGAGAGACGUACCGGAACAUCUCUAUCAAUUUUAAGUUUAAUUUUUAUUUGGUUCUUAAAUUUUAAAAUAAUUUUGAUUACAUUUGUUGAUUUAAUGUAGAAUUCCAUAUUUAUUUCUCUUUUAUCUUUCAGUUUUGAUUGAUGUGAAAUUUUAAAUUAAUUUUAGGUAAACCAUUUGAAAUUUUAAAUUAAUUUUGGGUAAACUAGUGAAACAAAUUAAUUAUUCUCCAUUUAAUUAUUACUAUUAUUUAAAAUUAGUAUAGCCUAUUUAAAAUUAGUAUAGCCUAGUUUUGUUUUAUAGUUUAUGUCAGGCCUAUCCUAAGAUAAUAUAGUACUUUAAAAACAUUAUAGAAAAUAAUUUAAAAUGAGUGUAUGAAGCAUUUUAUUAAGACAAAAAGGAUUUAUUAUUUUAAUGGGUAAUAUGAUCUCUUGUUUUUACCACCCAAAGCAUAUGAUGGGGAAAUUAAAGUGGGUGUGUUUUUUGAGUUGAAUAUUUUAAAUAUAAAUGCAUAACUAGUUCACAUGCUACACUUAAAUAAGGAUUUCCCAAUCUCAUCUCUCAGACCCCAUAUUAUCUUUAUCAUCCAUUUUUAAUUUCUUUUGCUUCUUAACAUAAAAGCUCAUAAUUUGGAUGUGUUAAAAUAAUAAUAAGAUCAAAAUAAUAUUAUUUCAUAUUUAUAAAUAUAUAUAUAUAUACAGCUAAAGAUGUCAGAAAGAUUUUGUUUGUUUUUUUUUCUCCCCUUUGAUGUGUGACUCAGCUUAAAAUGAUUGGGGUUAGGUUUUUAAUGAUUUAUUUGAAAACACAUGCAAUUGUUAAAAGUAUAUAUUAGGUAUUGGACUAUUGUAUCUCAAUUAUACACACAUAAUUUGGGAAACUAAUCAUAACGAGUUUUUAAAGAAUAAUUAUUUUAAUUGAGUUUAAAAUAAUGGAUAAAAUUCUCUUUGGUUUUGGUUUAUACGGCUGAAAUCCAUGCUCAAACACAUGCUAGUUCUUAAUUAUUAUACAUGUAUUUUCCUUACCAUUGUAUAAAUGGAGGAUUGAACACAAUUGACUUUAAAAGAUUGAUGAGUACAAUAUAAUACUUAAUUUGAGCAUGCUUAAUACAUAUUUAAAACUACAUCAUUAAUUUGUUAAAAUAUAAUAAAUAUAAAAUCAACAAAAAUCAAUUAUUAUUUUAGGUUUAAGAACUAAAUACAUAAUAAUUAAAUAGUUUUAAGAUCAAAAUAUAACACACUCAAACUAUGGCACAAGUAUAAGAGUCUAAUACUUUGAGGGUCAUGACAUCUUAUCAUAUGUGUUUUAUUGUUUAUAAAUUAUAAACUUAGACUCAAUUUCAGUCUUACAUGUUGAACAUAAUAAUAAUAAUAAGACUAUGAUACUAGUACUAAUAAUGAUAAAACAGUGAUACCUAGCUAGAUGAGUAGUUUAUUUGUUGAAUUCACAAAUGACACUAGAAUUGAACUAGUUAUAAAUUUGAUAUAUAAUUAUAACCAAGUAUAUCAACAACUUAAGACAUGAAAUUAAAAUGAAUGAAUAUAAAAAAAAAUGUUAUUUUUGUGAAAAAUAUAUAAGAGUGGAAGGGCUAAUAAUAAUGUUUUAGAACAGUACAUUUCCAGCUGGUUGAGUUUAAAUUAUUGAAUGUAGUAAUAAUGAGAGACAAAUUUUUGUAGAAUAGUUAUUGCAAAAUUGGAUAGUUUUGCUAACAAAUGAGGCUAAUUUCAAAGUGUAGCAGUUUAUGGGCAAGAGUCACAUUUUUGACUUAGCUUAAAAAGUGAUUCCAAAUUUUUCAUUUUAAUAUACAUACAUAUAUAUAUAUAUAUAUUCCAGCUUGGAAUCUAAUUAAUUAAGUUGUGAUAUUUACAAUGGAUGGGGAGACAAAAGUAUUUAAUACUUCCCAUCUCUUUAUCCAACUUGGAAUUACCACACUUUUCAAAACUCUCCAUAAUUGACUGAAUUCUAUGCAAACUCUCUAAUUUAACUUGCUUCCUUUUUCUUUUUUCUUUUUAAUUUUAUUUUAGUUUCUACAACUUUGUAUUUUUGCUCCAUUUUUGUUAUUGAAUUUUUUAAAUAUUUGAUUCAAAUCUUUAAACUUUUAAAAAAGAAUUUAUCAUUAAAUAUUUGUUAACCUUUUAACGAAACUAUGAUGUGACCUUCAAUACUUAGAUUACUUCUUUUAUGCAACACAAAAAUAUAAUCAUGCACACUUGACUCGAGUAAAUAAAUGAAUAAGAGCAAGUUUUGAAAAGUUAAAAAUAUUUUGACUCUUUCGAAAUUACUUCAAAUCUGUCCAAAUUGAUUUUUCUAUUUUGACAAAAUGUAAUGAGAUAUUUUCAUAGGAGGUUAGGACAACAAACUCUCAAGUAUUUUUACGAUGGUAUGAUAUUUAUCUAUUUUAGAUAUAAGUCAUAUUGACUUUGCUUUUGGUAUCAUCUCAAAAGACUUUAUACCAAUUGAGAUAGUUGCACUCACUUAUAUACCCAUGAUCAUUUCUCUAUUUAACUGAUGUGGGACUUUGAUCGAAUUUACAUAGAAGAUUGUUAUCAACCGAUGAGUAAGUAACUAAGCCAUAUUAUAAACAAAUAAACACAAUAUAUUUUUACUUGUUUCGCCCUAAACAUACCUUAUAAAUUUUACAUAAAAAAGAGAGUUUAUUUAGUAACUAAUUUCAAAAUUAAAUGUUUAUCCUAGCUCAAUUUAAAUAUAACUAUAUAAAUGUGUUAGUCACCCAAAAUUUCAUGAUUUGAAUUCUCAUGCUUUUAUUGUACUUUAAAGCUAUUUGAUCAAGUAGAAUUUCAAAAUAAGUGAAAACCUAUUUCAACCAUAUUUGUAUAUGAUUCUAAUUCCUUUUUUGUUCUACAUAAAAGGGGAAUUCUUAAAAUAAGCAAUAAAAAAACAGAUUUCUUAAAUUGUUAUGAAUAAAAAUAAAUAUAAAUUAAUUAAUAAAAUAUAUAUAAAAAAAAACUUAAAUUCAUCUAAAACAUAAGAGUUUGAUGAUCUACCUAUAUUUUAUAAAUAGUUUUAAUAUUUUGUUAUGGUUUGAAAACGUCUCUUUCAAAAAUUAAAUUUUGGUCUAAAUUAAAAAAAUUCAUAAAAUGAGAAAGAAAAACAAAUAGUAUUUAGAGUUCAAUUUUAAAAAGAAAAUAACAUUAUCAAAUAGUGUCGUGUUAUUCCAAAAUUGUUUUCUUAUAUAUUGGUAUGCUCUCUCACAUGAUGUGUGCUUUAGUUGAAUUUUCAAAUUUUAAGUUUAAUAGUUGAGCAGCUUACCUUCAAAAAGAAAAAAAAAGUCUAAUAGAUAAACUUUAAAAUUUAUAAUUAAAACAAUAAAGAAAACCAAUAAAUUUAUUAAAUAUAAAUAUAAAUUUUCAUACAAUAUCUUAACUCUAAACUUUGAUACUAAAUAUAUAGGUAAACUCUUCAUAUAUUAAAAACAAAAUUUAAAAUUUAGAAACUAAUAAAAACGAAAAUAUAUACCUUUUUUUCUAUAAUACUUCAAACAUGUACCAAUAAUGCCUUUACAAAAAAUCAGUUUUUUAGAAACAAGGUUGAAAAAACAAACCUUAUCUAAAAAAUUAAAUAAAAAUAUCAAAACAGCUAUUUUCCAGUUAAUGCAAGUUUUGAUUGAUUUAUUUUUUUCAAAAGGGGUCUUCGAGUUCUGUUCUUUGAUGUGUAAUUAUUCUGUGCAUAAUUAAAUAUAUUUAAUACCUUUUAGUUAAUUUUAUAUAUAAAUUAUAAAUGUGAUUUUAAAUAUAAAUAUCAUUUAUUAAGUCUUUUAGAUUAGUCAAAAUCUCACAUUAAAUUAUGGACGUUGAUAUUACUAAUACCAAAAACAAAAAAUUGAAAAAACCAAUUUCGUUUUUAAAAGUUAUAAAUGAAUAUUUUUUUUCCGUGUUAGAGUAAAUCAAAACAAUGGAUCCCUUGAAUAAAGUUUUCAUUAAUAGCUUGAAUAGACAUUACAAAUUAGAAGUUGUCAAUGACAGUGGACUAAUCAAUAUCAUUAUACAAAUAUAUAGAAAAUAUUUAGCUAGGUUUAAUUAACAUCUAACCUUCUUUUUUUUUUUUUAUUCUAGUUUUGUGUGUGAGAUUCUACCAAUUUUAUUUUAGCCUCUAAAUAUACAAAUCUACACCAUUUAAUACCACUUAGUUCUUUUUUAAUAUAUAUAAAGUAUAAUUAUUAAUGAUAAUUAACAUUAAUUAUAGGAAGUAGUUAUCUUUCCUUUACUAAAUGAGUAGAAUUGAAAUAAAUAAUGUAGAGUAAACAUAACUAAACCAAUAUUAAUAUGUACUAGCAAUUUUAGUUUUGUUUGUGAUCUGGAUGAUUUAAACUUUCUUUUAAUUUUAUAAUUAUGAUCCGGUAGAAGGUUUGAUGUUUACUUGUAUUAUAUUAAAAAUGAGGGGAAAAGAGAUUUAAAAAUUUUGAAAGGAAAAGGAUUUAUUUAAUGGGACCUAAAUAGGUGACUUUUGUCAUAUGUUGACCCUUUAAGCUAUAACUUAAACGGCACUACAACACUAUGAAUGAAAGUUGCUUUGUGCUUAUGGCCAUUGGAAAGAGUAUUUUCAUAAUAAUCUAUAAACUUUUUUUUUGGUUUCUUCCCCUUUGCAUGAGUUCAUUUCAUUAAUUAUGGUUUCAAUUUUAUUUUAAAUGUGUUUUAACUCUGAAAUGUUCUAUUUUAAUCAUUCCCUUCCUUAACAGAUUUAUGCACAAUAUUCAAACUCAAUUUCUCAAAAUUAAGCUAUAUAAUUUUCAAAAUAUUACCAUAAACUAAGGAAGUUCAAAACCCUAAUUAACAAUGAAGUAGUAAAAUAAAUAAAUAAUAAUAAUUGUAAUAAAAUCAAAUGUUAGAACUUUUAGUUACACUAAAUUGUUAGUGUCUAUCAUGUAAAUAGAUAUUGAGUGAUGGUAGUGUCUAUUAUUGUGGAUAGACAGUAACAUCAUUCUUACAAUUCUUAAUAAGCUUGAUAGUUCUUUUCACAAACCAACACAAGUCCUUUGAGUAUCUUUUGUCAUCACUUACAUGCAUCAUAGAAAUAUUUUCAAGAGAUUACCUAAUAUAGAAUUACUCCAAGCUAAGCACGCUUAACUUUAGAGUUUCUAUGAUUGAGCCACCGAAAAAUAAGAUGCACCUUGUUGGUAUAAGUGUUAACUUUUAAGUCUUUCUUAACAUUACUUUCAUGUCUUCAAAAUUUCUCUCAUUCAAAUGUGAUAUCGGUUCAUUCAUGUCUCCCUCCUAAUUUCAGACGUUAAAAAUUCAAACACGGUUUUUCAAAUUUCUCUUUGUUUUUUAUUAAGUUUAAAGAUCAGUUUUUCCUAACUACAUGUGUGUUGUUUGACCAUUGCACUCAAUCAUGGCCCAAGCAUUUACUCCAUGUAGCAACGUAAAGGAUAAAAGAGAGAAAUCACCAAAAGUAAAGCAAAACUCCUAAUUACAAAUCAAAGCAAUGAUCAAUACAAAAAGACGAUUUCACCAUUAAUACAAAAUUGAAGAACAAACUAAUCUUAUCCCUAACCUAAUCAAUUAAGAAUUAAACCAAUAUAUCAUAAAAGUUUCUCUAAUCUAAAAGGCAAGGAGCUUUCCUUUUUCAAAAAUAGAAGGGUUUUUUCAAAAAAUAAUAAUAAUAAAUUUAAAGUGAUCUUAAGAGGAAGACUAUAUCUAUUAGUAGGCGAAUUAAUGAGAAGACAAAGUUGUAUAAAUAGACUUAGAGGUACAAGUUUGAUCUAUAAUAGUUACUUCCAUACAAUUUAAUACCCUACCAUUUUUUUAAUUAAGAAUAUGGGAACAUCACCUCAGAACUCAAGUAUGGAAAAAAAGAAAAGACAAAAGAGAGAAAAAUUAUUAUUAUACUUGAUUAACGACCCUUGUUUGAAAAUCAUCAAUCUUUAUAAAAUACAUAUCUCUUACAAAUUCAAAGAGAUUAAUUUUGGAACAAAAAUUAACCCAAAAUAUGCUCUAAACACUAGAAAAAAAAGAAAAAAAACGCAAAUUUAUUUAUAAUUUCAUAGAAGAUUAUCCAACUUAAACUUUUCAUCAACUGUAAAAUCAGUAAAGUAAUAAUCUUUAGAAUCUCCAUGAAGCCAUUCCUCAAGCAAUUUCAUCGGCAACAAU